UUUUUUUUUUUUUUGGUUUUAAACCUUUCUCUCUUCUCACACCCUUUCCACCUUUAGAUUUUUGGUUCUGACUCUUCGCUUGGAGUCUCCUUUAACCAAAAAUAAUAAUAUUUUACUGAUAAAUAACCAACAAAUUAUUAUUUUUUUUACAAGUAAUUACAAGCUGAGUUGUAAUUCGUAUGAUUAAUACAAUAUAGAAGAUGUAAAGAGAUCAUUUACAAACGGGAGAUAUCAUCGUUUACAGAUGGAAAGAGUAAAAUUUACUCACAAGCAAUAUUAGAUUAGUAUAUAGUAACGAAUUAAUUUUUAUGCAGCGUCAAUGAAAUUUUAACUAACAAAUAGGUUCAGAUGCAUAUCACAUAAUCUAAAUUUAAAUUUAAAAUUUACUUUUUUUUGCACAUACGACAUGCAUUUACACUUACUACUAAUUACAUAUAACCUUUUAAAAUACUUUAUAAAAUUGUUCUUAACUAACCAAACCAAGUUGGGUUAGUUAUUGUGAGAUUGAUUUAUCAUAAUGUUAUUAUUCUUAUUUUAUUUAGUGCAAUAAGGGUUUAUUUGAACAUUAUUGUUGUCGAGUUGGAUUUGAUUUCUUCUUUUGUUCUUGAGCUUAAUUAAGUUUUUAUCUCAACAUUAGAAAAGCUAUAAAAGAAAUAACUAUAAAAAAAUACAAAUCUGAAAUCUUUUGGGUUGUAUCAAUUUUUAUCAACUUAAGUUAGCUUGAUUAUGAAUCAGCCUCUUAACUUAUGGAGCUUGGGUUUUUCUUUUCUUUAUUUUUCUGAAUUGUUCGGAUAGUUGUUAUUUGAAUAAAAUAUUAUUUUAUUGCAUCAUAAGCACAUUUUUCCAACUACUUUUUCAUUUCACAUAGUAUAUCAUAUCACAAAAAGUGCUACAAUACUCUUUUUCAAAAUAUUAUUCCAAUAAUCUCCUAUCCAAACAUACCGAGUUGAGUUAUUCUAGAAACCUAUUAAUACCCGAUAACAAUCCAUGUUACGACCAUUUUCCUUAGAUUUUUGAAUUAUGCUCUUCUUUAUGAGAUUUGAUUGAUAUUAUCUAAUAGUUAUCUGUUAAUUUAAUUUAAAUGUCUAAAUUUGUACAUUUUUUAAAUGUAUCCAUUUAUGCAAAAUAUUUUGAAGAUUCAGUAGUGUGAAAAUGCUUACUGAUUAAAAAGAAUCACAAAUUUUUAUUAGCUUAUUUCUUUUUUUAUUAUUAUUUUUAACUUAUUUCACAUCCAUAAAAUGUAAAGGAUGAUUGGUGCAAUUUUUUCUAUUUCAACAUAUAAUUGCGCCUUAGAGUAAUACAAUAGACUAUUAUUUUAUUGGUAAUGGAUCAAAUUCUCCUUAAUACCCUCAAGGCUUUCUCAAGUUUCGUGGAAUUGAUUGUUCAUCUCUUCAAGGUAUUCUCAUAAAAAUUUUAGGAUUUUUAUUAUAGUAUUUUAUCUUUGAACACAACUUGUAUAUAGGCCUUUGUUAGGGUUGAUAUAUAAUAGAUGAUCUAUUGUUAUUUCGUUGAUAUUGAAUCAAAUUCUUUUGAGUAUCCUUAAGGCCUUUUGAAUUUUGUGUUGAGAUUUUACAAGGAAAAGAUAGUUGUCUCUCUUGAAAUUUUACGGAAAAAAAAAAGAAAAAGAUCAGCAUCUCUUGAAAUUUUAAUGAAAUUAUGAUGUUUUAUUUAAAAGGAAAAAACCAAGGGCACUGUUAGAAUUUCAGAUAACAAGCUUGGACAAAGCUGAUUAAUCAAAAGUUGCCGACUUGCCGUUACGAAAUUAAAACUGAAACGGAGCAGACACCAACAGACUAACAGAGUCAACAGAGUGAUGGGGUUUUUGGGGUUUCUCUGAAUCAGAUACAGCUCAACCCACCGUAAAAUCCUUACUCCCGCAUUUUUCUGUUUUUCCGUACAUACACAAUACUUGCAAUCUUCCAUAAUUAUAUCUCGCCAGUACAAUUGUUCUUUUAUCAAGCUCUGAAAUUUUUUUAAUCAUCAUUUUCAUUAAUUGAUCAAUUAAUUCUCCAAAUCUUCCAUUCCCUUUUUUUUUUAACAAAAAAAUUCUUGUUUUUUGGGUUCAAUUAGGUGAGCUCCCUGUUUUCAAUCAAAUUCAGCUUCUCACCAGAUAAUGCGUAUUUCGUUCAGGUAUUAACUCAUACGACUGUGUGUAUUAGCGUGUGUUCGUGUACAUUGAUAUCUAUACACGCAGAAAAGUACUUGUACAUUUGUUCAAUUGAAAAUGUUAUUUAUUUUGAAUGAUUUCGGAAUUUGCAUUGCUCUGAAAAUCUGUGUUUUUUUUUUUUGGCAUUUCUUGGUAAUUUUUUUUGUAAUUUUAUAGAUUUCAUUUCUGUUAUCGUUUGACUUCUAGUAAACGUGAAUCAUAAAUUAAUACGGAUUUUUUUUUGAGUAUUUUAUGGUACUUGUUUAGAGAAAAUUAAACUUCACAAACGAAUGGAUAACUAUAAAAAUUAUAGUUUAUCAAAAUUUGUGAUUUUUCAAUAGUGAGGAGCUGAAUCACUGACUCUUUGACAGAAGAAUGGUCGAAAUAUUAAUGGGACUGUGUUAGUUGCUUUUCUUAAAGUUGAUCGGUGAAAUUUUUGUUUUUUUACUGGGUUUGAAUUUGAUGCUCUUUUUGGUUCAACUUUAAACUUGAAAUUCUGCUGCGAAAUGGUUAAGAGUUUCGAAAACAUUCUGGGAUAGAAGUUCAAUGGAUGUGAUGAUGGCCAGAACAGUGUGACUUGGACAUGGAGUCAUUUUGAUUGAAGGAUGCAGAGGUAUAUCACGCUAAGAUGAGUUGAGUGAACUUUUUAGGUCCCUAUCAAUAGCGUUGAGUUUGAGCUUAGACUUUGUGAAUUUGAUUGCCGUUGAGUUGAGCUUGAACUUCGCUCUUCUGAAUCAACUGCAGCCCUGGUUGGCAUAGUUGAAUGAAGUCUUUAUUAGGUUAUUGUUGGCCCUGAUAUCUCAUCAUGUUCAUUUGUUUAAUUGCUGAUUCAAGAUUCUCGAAGAUUUUCUUUUGCUUUGUUUUAGCUAAACCUAAUUUACCAUGUGAAUGUACUCUCUCCCUGCAUUUAGAUAUUUUUUAAAAUCAAUUUCACUCUUAUUAAAAAAAAAUUAACACUUGAAUUUAUCUUAACAGUCUCCCCGAGAUUACUUGUAAGCCCAACAAAAAAAAAAAAUUGCAUUUUGCAAAUAACAUUUCUAAUUAUAUCUUUGAAAAGCUGAAGCAAGCUAAAUUAAAGAAGCCUAUAUUCUUGCAACAACCAAAGAUUUGACAUCAAAUUCAAAUAAAGCAACAUAUUUUUAGAUAAUUUUUUAUUUUUUUAAAUUCAUUUCUCAUCCCAACAAGCCAAUCAGUUGACUGUUGCAUGGAGUAUUUGGCAGAACGAGAGUCUGAGUUAAAUCAAGAAAACCCACAACCGGGAGAGUUGGAUCACUAUCACUACCAUAAACAUAUGGUGCAGCCAACCGUUUGAAAAUUUCGUGAACAAGAAUCUACCCCAGUUAUCUGAAUUCUGAAGCCAUGGCCUACGCUGCAGCAUAAUGUUCCCUUCACUGUAAAAGAAGGUGAACGUGAAUAAAUCGUGGAGUCUGAGAGGGCUCAGAAUAAUUUUGUUGUUCACAUUCAUACAGAACAAUCAAUGACAAAAAGGAGAAAGUGCAAAUGGAAGAAAGAUUCCAAAAAGUUCAAUUCCAGGGAAGUAGCCAAACCAAUGGACAAGAAAAUGAAGUAUAUAUCUUCAAUCUGCAACCACAUGCUCCAUAGAGCAUGUAUUUCAGGUACUGAGUUCCAAAAUUGGAUCACUGUUUUUAACGAUUCGCUCUAAAUUUUUUUUUCACUGUUUGGUACUGGAUUUGGACGCCUGAAUAGAUUGAAAUGACAUAUCCACAACUAGACAAAUUUCCAGCUCCGCCUUGUUAUUUCAAUCUUCCGCAACAGUAUGAUAUGUCCCAAUUAUUGGCAACCAGUUUCAAUCAUGAAAUUUGCCUCACCAAUCACGAGGACGUGUCUUCAACUAUGCAAAAGUUCAAUUAACAGAAUUUACAGAAGAUAAAUUGGGCAUAGUUUUAUCCGUUCUCCAAAACGUAAGAUGGUAUUGGUGUCUGUCUAUUCAUAGUUAUCACUCGACUUUGCAUGAGGAUUAAAACCUUGUUUAAUUCUCAUCCCCUAGAUUAGUUAUGUUGUGGAGUAUUACAGAAUUAAGGGAGAGCAAAUGUCCAAAUUUAGAACACACACACACACACACUUUGUAAUCCCAUUAACAAAAAAAACAACAGAAUUCUUGAAAAGUCCAAAGCAAUUGUACCCAAUAUUACUAGUAGUACUUUUGGAAGAGGGAACUAAUUCCGCAAAAUCUAGUCAUAUAUCCUCCUCAAGAAAAUCACCAAUCACCAUAAUUGAUUUUUUAUGUUCUCCAUGUAGUUGUAUAGAACAAUAUUCUCCAUGAAAAUUCCACGUAGAUUGUCAUUUCCAUGUUACCAUAUUGCAGGUGGUGAAAUGAUACCAAAUGCUGUACAUCAUUUAUCCUCAUGUGGCCGGCGGCCUCUCACGUCAGUGAUGAAAUUAUAGAUAUCUAAAGUCAUUUUCAUGUAGAUAUUGCCUCCAUUUCAGUCCAAGCUGUCCGCUCCAACUAAAUCAUGAAACUCGCUAAAAAAAAGGGUGGAAAAAAAAUCCAAGAAAAGUGACAAAGUUGUUCUUAAGCUGAAUGAGCCCAAGUGUAAUCAAACUAUAUAUUCCUUUUUUUUUUCUCUUCCUGAUCAACAUCUUCUGUAUAAUCACCAAUGUAAUUGCAAAUCAAGCAUGCUCAUUCAUUAACAUACAAUAGUACUUCAAGUUCAGCUGGUUCACGGGGAAAGAGGUUUCUCUGGGCUCAAUUGAACAUCGUGCAAACAAAAACAUCUUUUGGUACAUGUGAUUGGACUUCUUAGUAGUAAACUCACAUGCCAUGGGAAGUGAUUGGUAUUUGUUAGAUCCCAAUGCCCCAUACAACUUAAAAAUCCUGGCAAUUGAAUCAUAUGUGAUUUGUUAAUAGAAUGGAGAAAGAUGAACUUAGGAUUGCUUAAGCUUGUUUAUCAUCAUUUGGACCUUACUCACGCCCUAUGAAGUUUUCAAUUUGUGCAUUUGUCCUCAUCAAAAUCUAAGUUAAGUUGUCUCUACCAAUUUCUUUAAUCGAACUAAACCAUACAUGCAUGCUUAAAUUUCGUGGGUCAGAGCAGUUUUAAUUAAAGACACUUUCUUGUCUCUUCAAAAGUUAAGCGCCACAUACCAAGUCAAGUAUGCCCAACCAAAAGCUCAUUCUCCCAAAAACAAACAGUUCUUAAUUAAUAGCAGUUUCAUGGGAAGUAGGUAUCUCCUCAUAUCCUUACCUAAACCAACUAAUUAAGAAUUUUUAGCAAAGAGGUGGUUGGUGGUGCGAUAUCUUUCUUUCUUGGAUCCUCUUCUUGUGUCUCCCCCGCAUGACAUAAAAAAAUGACAGUAGUGAAGUUUUAAUACUAUAUCUUCUUGUUACUAUUGAAUCAACUCUCUCGCUAGUGCUUUAGAUUUCUCAAUUGCUUUCGCGCAUAAUUGGGCUUCCAUGUCCUGCGAAGAUAAACAGCAUUCUCUGAAAUGUCUUAUAUCUAGUUUAGAUCAAAGGCAGUUUGGCUUUCCAGAAUAGUUAAGCUCUUUGGGUUUUAAUUCUCUCAAUUUUGCCCAUGGAAAAAUGUAAAACCUUAUUUUAAUCCAUCCGCUAUGCCUCCAUCAAUAUCUUUCAGGGUAGUGCCCCCAAGAGUGCACAUGCCUAUGCAAAUUUUAGAGAGUACAUUAGUCAAACCAACACCAUGUGACUUGGGGUAAAGAUAUGCGUUUAUUUUUCAUUUCUUACCAACUAUUAGAUGGCCUUUUCACUGGUGUGUGUGUGUGUGUGUGUUUUUUUUUUCCCCCUUAUUCUUUUUACCUUCAACUUCAAGAUUUGUGGCUUUUAUAUGGAUGGCUUAUGAAACAGAUGUGACGAUGCCUAGCUUUGGUUGAGAAACUUUGAGGGCCCAAAAUAAAAUCAAAUGUAAACUUUCAAGGGCUAAAAUGAAACAAUUUACAUUUCAAAGGGAUCAAUUGACAGUUUGACACUAAUCGCAAUUUCUUAGCGCCUAAAGUUCUCGGAUGAUGAUAAUGCACGGAUUGCUCCCAAAGUACAGAUUGUGUUGUUUCGUGGAAAAAGGAAACAUCAGAAGAGUACAAAUUAAUGUUAGCCCAGACAACUGCAUAGAUAAAACAAGAAAAGUUGAUCUCUGCCUCUCCAUUCAGGGCAAUGUUGGGCUUGGUUCUAGAGUUCUAGACUUCUAGUUGUUCAUGGAAAUAAUAUUAUUGUUGUUCUCCUUUCAAUCAACCUAUUUGAUGCAUAUGAAAAAAGCCACUUGGUCGAGUAACCUCUCCAUCAUAAGUUCGUUUUUUCUCCUCCCUAAUUAAUCGUCUGCGUCUUCUUGUCUUUUCUUUAAUCUUGUAGCUUACAUUAACCCCGGUGGACUAAAUUAAUGUCCUUGGUCAUCAAAUGAGUUGUGACUUGGUAAUGAUGUGACAAAAUUGACUGUAAAUUUGUCUUACUCAACCCAUACUUCUAAUUUCUUGUUAUUUGUCGGAAUAGAUUUACCUAACAUAAUAAAACAGCUUAGCUAACGCAGACAAAAUAGCUCAAACAGCAGGCAUAGCUUGCAAACUACUUACCGAGGAUAAGAAAUUUGGUGCAAUCUGUCAUAGAACCUGAAAAUAAUUGUGAGUGUUACUUGAAAAUGUCGGUAACCUUGCACAUCAACUAAUAACCUCAAGUUUGAUAACACAUUUUUAAGGAAGAAUCUUACCUUAGGCUGGGACAAAUGGCACACGGCUAAGAUAUGUAAGAGCCCAAAUGCUAAAGUCGCAAGAUAUACAAGAACUGCUACUGGUGUUGGACCAGCCUGCAUUUCAUGAAAGUACUGAAUGGAAGGAAGUGGAAAUAUAUCUGCAUCUUGGUACUUUGGCACUCAAAACCAUAUGCAAGGUAGAAAUGCAGCCUAUCCCGUCCCCUAUUUAAGUAGCACUGGCCUCCUUAGGUCCUCAACACCUGUGUUUUACUGGCCCUUUUAGCGACAUUCUGGUUUCGUGGGUGCAAACCGCAAAGCACCUUUGGUCAUGUGAAAGCCUAUGAAAGUGGGGUGCCCUGGACCAGGAUACAAAAUUAAGGACAACAAACGAACUUCCCUGUCCCUCUAAUAAUUUCGUUAUCAAUUACCACAAGAAUACCAAGGCAUCCAACGUUUCCCAAGAAGAUUCACACAAACACACAGAUUAAUUUACACAUCACGAGAAAAGACAUUCUUUACUAGCACCACAUUUUACAAUAUACACGAACAUUAGACGUUAGAGAAAUUACAGCAUUCGAGGAAUCAUAUUCUCACGCUUGCCUUGGAUUUCUAUUUAGGUUUGUCCUCAUAAUACAAGAACUAGUUCUUUGCCUGCAAAGACAAGGAAAGCCAACAAGAGGACCCAGUCUAAGUUUACUUUCUCCCUUAAAGCACGAAGGAAAAAAAAAAGUGAAGAAAAAUAGAAAAAAGAACAAAGAAAGACCCCCCACACUCCUACAGGCCUACACCUAAUAAAAAAAAAUGAAAUGUAAAUGAGAAAAAAGGGUUACACAACAAGUCUUGAUGUCGCACAUUUACGGUGGUGAUCAUCGGCUUUCUGGCCACUGUGUCCCGCUGUUGUGGAUGACAUUAAAGAUACAAUAAGGUCAGUGAAAGCACCAAUGAUGAACUUGUGAGUAUGUUUUGGAUUUAAGUUGAGAUAGCACAGGAGAAGCUCAUGCAAGAAAUCCCAAUCAGCUUUCACAUCUUUUAAUUCCUUUGCAUCCACCAUUUCUUGCAUUGAUCUUCUAAAAUCAGUAUAAGGGUCCGGUGAAUAAGUGUGGAUAGCAACACCACCGGAGACUACGGUGUUAUCUGGCUCCGGUACCUGCGGCCUUACCGGUGACUCGAUGAUGGAAUUCGAGUUGCCUGGAGACGAAAAAAAGAAGCGUUGUGAGGCGAAAAUGGUGGAAAAAUCAGGGAUGGAAUCAGAAUUAUCAUCAGAAUCUUCCGAUGAGGAGAAGAAGUCGUCUGUUGAAGAAGUGAGAGACUUGGAAUUGGAGUGGGCGUCUGAUGAGCUGAGGUCACGAUAGAGGGAGUUGAAGUUUUUGAGUGAGGAUGAAGUGCUGGCAUUUGGAAUAUUGAUUGGUACAGCGUUGUCAUGAUAAUCUUCUUCUUCUUCUUCAAGCGUCAAAGGUGGAGAUAGAGUUGUGGGGAGGCAUUUGAUCUUGGAGACACAGAGGUAGAAGUUCUUUCUGAAGAUGUUGGCCAUUCUCAGUUCUUUUAACCAGGGUGGGAGAGUUAAAAGUCUUCCAUAAUAGGCAUAUAUAUAUAUUAUACUGGCCAGCAGUGUAUUUGUAUCUCUUUUGUACUACACGGUUGGUGCGUGUAUCUAUGGGUGUAUGUGACUAUGUGUCCGUGGAGAAUAUUCAUGUGGAUAUGUGUAUGUAACUUCAUGCAUGUCUGUAUGUGUAACUGUGUCAUUGACCAAGGUUUAUAUAUUUUUUUGUUUAAAUCAAAUUUUAGUGUAAAUAUUUUUUUCUAUACCAGUAGCAGCUGUCCAUGCAUGUCAUAUCUCUAGAAAGUAAAUCUAAGAUUUCAGUGGAGAUUAUAUAUCAUUCAAAUAUGUUACUGUAUAAAAAUUUUUUACAGUGACAGUUUAAAAAAAUUUAUUCUUCAUUGUUUAAAAAUUUUACAAUAAUGUAAUUAACAAUUUAUAUCAACCGGCCUAAAAGCAGGUUCUACUCUCACCGUGUCAGUUUCUCAACCCUUCCCUGCUUUUUCUUUCCCACCCUUCUCCUUUUAAAAGCUUAUAAAGAAAAUAAAAAGAUAUUUGAUGUUGCACCAGUAAAAAAUUAAGUCAACUAAUAUGUAUUCUCUGCAUUUUAUAAGUUACUAAAGAUAAUCAGCAUAAUCAUUGGUUUUCUGUUAACGUUAGCAGUCAAGUCUUCUGACUUGUCUAGAGAAAAUUACAUGAUGCUGAUAGUUUCAGUAGGAUAAAGGAAAAUUGAAAGAUUGGAUCAAGAUAAAAUCAAGAAUAUGCUAUCUAUCAACUAUUUUGUUCGAGAGCAUGGAAUUCAACCUUUCUAUAGUGUAAGACAAGACUUGGUGCUACCAUUUUCUUCUAAGCAAAAGAACCUAGCUAUCGAUCGGGCUUGCAACAGGGCAGAUCAGAAUUCGACUAUUGCAUUAACCCUUCUUGAUUUCUACGUGUCCAAGCAACAACUCCGGUUCCAUCAAAGCAACGACCCUCAAAUGGCCUUGCCACCCUUGCAGCACUGUAAAGGAACAUAGAACAUAAAUAGUAAUACUACUACUCCCUACUAAGAAGAAGAAGAACAAAACGAAAAGCGAAGUUGGAGGAUAUGCAGUACACAAAAUCAAAUAUUUGAGCAUGUGCGUUUCCUUGCAUGUGGGUAUGUAAACUGUAAAGUGUAGUCCUUGAGUAGCUUUGCAAGUAGAAAUUCUACACGAAAGCAACGUUACUGUGCAGAGAAAAAUCCUGGACUCACAAGUGUCAAGUUUACAUAGCUCUAGCUCGCUAAAUGAGUUAGUAAAAGUGUACAGAGUUUUUGGAGGGCAACAAUUUGUCCUUGGGACGUUUUGGCAUUUAAGGUUCACGAGGGCACUCGUCCUUCUUCUUCUAUUUAUAAAUUCCAGAUCCAGAAGGCUAUCAUCAUCGGGUGACUGUGCAUCUAUAAACUUACCCCUCUAGGAUUUCUGUGAGUGACAAAAAAAAAGUUUCUUCAAGAAUUUUUGACAGAAAUGUUGGUCGAGUUUCCUGUUGUUCAGGGCCCUUUUAAAUUUGGAAAUGUAAACAGUACAUCUGGUCCACUGACGGGUAUUGCUACUGUUUGAAUCCAAACUUGGUCAUCAAAACUGGAAAGAUCGAUUUUUGAAAAACUCACAAUGAGCUAUUAGCUGGACAGGAAAGAAGAAGAAGAAGAAGAAGAAGAAGAGGAAAAAAGAAACAUGAUGAAAACAUGAAAAGGAAAACUUGAUUGAGUAAUGCAUUCCGAGAAAUUUGUCUACCUGGGUAAUCCAGAAUUCUGAAUCAUACUCAAGCAUGGUUCAAAAACUCGGCCACGUCGUCACCGUCUCGGGCUCUCGAGACGAUGUCGGGAUAACAGGCUUGCGGCAUCCCCCGGGGCAAUAGGCUUGCCAGCAAGCUCACCGGUGACUGGAAAAACAUCUCCAUAUUUGAUUGGCUCCUGACCUUCCUGAGGCCUUCUUGGUUGUUCUUGGCUCCUCUUUGCUGUAGUAUUACGCAAUUGUUCUUGUUUCUUGGUUUAGAUGGGAAAUUGAUUUUAAGAAGUUCGUGCUUUGAGCCUUCGGCCGUAAAAUGAGAUGCUAUAUACCAUGCAAAAUUGGCAAGUUAAUCACCGUCGAGAGGGAAAAAUGGAAACCAUUAAUCGCCUUUCUGUUUCAUUGAUCAGUGGCAAUUGGUGAGCAGAUGAAUUAGCGAUGCAGACGCAAGUGGCGCGUUAAGAGAUUAAUUUGUCUUCACCAUGAGGAGCAAUGCCUCGGGCGGCACCCCAUUGGUGAAACUACACAUACGAGAUUUAGUCUAUUGAUCUAUUAACAGUUGGCAAAACAAACUCAUUUCUCGUAAGAGUCUAGUAAACUAACCAUAUAUGAUGAGGUAACAAAGUCACGAAUUUGCUGGUACAUCGCAAAGAAGGGAAAAUAAGGCAAACGGAAUGCAUAAAAAGCACCUUCUUAGACGAUGAAAACUUGCAAAAUGGUCUCCAAUUUAGGUUACAUAAUAGACUGUUUGGAGCAAUUUAUAGCGGAAAAGAUUUUCGGAGCAUCAAUCUCUGUAUGAAGUAGGCACAUAAUAUUCCUGAAAAACCAAUGUAGUAGCAUUCUAAAUAUAAUAUCAGCGUUCUGCCUGUAUCGACUACAACUGGAUGGUUAUUCCAUUACAUAUAAUUCUCACAGGGCAUUUGUGGAUAGAUAUUUCACCAAGAAAGUAGUGCAUCAUCAACUGAUGAAAACACAGAAGCCAAAGCACAUACUACAACUGUUUGCCCUUUUGGAUGACAUCGUCCUAUCGAAUUCAUAGAUAUAUCCUCAUGUUGCAAUAUCUAUCUAUCUAGCAAGGCCAGAAAGAUAAGAUAAGACCUAGGACUAACAAUCUAAGCUUCAACUUCAAACCAUGAGUAUUCCAAGUUUUGUACAUGCUGCAUUAUUAUGUAGCCAUGCCUCAAAGGGAAGCAUUUGGUCCAUCAUUCUUCGCUUCGCCCAGCAACCUCUAACCCAUUACCUGCAAAAGAUUACAUGUUUGAACCAAACUACCAUAGUUAUUCCUGAGCUUUGGAUUGCAGAUAUUAACUAGAAGCAAAGUUCAUAAAGGAUCAUUUGAACUGGUAGUGACAUGCCAAAAUGGUGAUGAUCUACAUCUGCAGAAAAUGCCGGAUUGUGAUAUGAAUUGUCCACUUCAAAGUUCUAUUGUUAUUUCUUUCCCUUCUAUAUUCCUUUCCCGGGAAAUGUCCAGUUAAUUGCUGAUUUAACUAAACUACCAACAGGAAACUUACCAUCUGGAUCAAAGAAGAAUGCUUGUUUGGUCUUCCCAUCUGGUUGAGUCCUGUGAUGAAUCUGGAUCCCCUUCUCCUGCAAGGGACAACAUAUUUAUCUUCACCAUAUAGAGAUCAGGAAAGAACAAAAGAAAAUUCCUUUCUUAUUUGGGGGCGGGGUUGGUGUUGUUUGGUAUCAGCAGAGGGUAACUGUUCCACGUUAAAAAAGUUUAUAGUGAACUACACAAUGUUUUUCUUUUGGAAACUGUUUCAAAUAAUCUAAAUGAUGCAGCAGAUGCAAAUUCUUUAUCUGUAAAGUGGAAGUUUCUGUUUGCUCAACCCUUCUCGCAAACUGGGAACUUAAACUACAAUGAUUUCUAAGCUGACAUAUUCUUUGAAACAUACCAUAUGAACCUCUGCCACAACAAUUAGACAAGUUGGAAUAUUCAAUAUCCAGACUACUCAGUGCUAAGAUUUCGAAAAUGUGAAUAAUGCUUAAUUGCAUUACUUAAUUACUGGAAGUCAUACAAACACUUUCUCAAACAACAAUUUGACUUUUCUGAGAUAUCAAGACCAAUCUUGAUCUCAUGCACACCAUAUACAUUCAACUACUGCAUCAGAUGCAAAAUUCUAAAAUGAGAAUAAUGAGAGUUAUAUAACCCCAGGCAUCACAUCAAGUAGUGGAGGAGCACAGAAGAGUGUAAAAACUGAGAACGCUACUGUUGCCAUUAAAAAAAAAAAAAGAAGAAAACUUGGCUAUCUAAAUCCAUGUUAGAUUGAAUGUUUCAGAUAAAGAUUUGAAGAACCGACCUUCGCUCUUCAAUUAUCUUGAAAAGGCACAUUAUCAGGCUAGUCAGCUAACUUAAUAGUCAUUAUGGGUCAUGUCCUUGUUUCUCAAUAGAGAAGAAUGAACAGAUAUACCACAGGUGCUUUUUCUUUACAAAUUUUCAAUAGCAAUAUCCAAUUUGCAUUCUACCUUACAGCCCAACUUACCUUCUACUAAAUGGUACCUAAAGUAUGCCAGAUUUAAAGUUGCCAGUCCUCAAGAAAUCAGUUUAUUCAGCAAUUCACAACUACUUAUUCGUACAAGAGAUAAUUUGUGCAACAAUUAGAGGUUAAAAUUUCACCAACCAACAUGAGAAUCAAAUCUGCAAUAGUUUCUGUACAAUAAGACAGCAAGGUUUUGGCAUUAUUAAUGCCGUCAAAUUGAAUUCUGAAAUCUCAUGUACGAACAACAAACGAAAGUUGAUGCAAGAAGAGUUAAAAAUCCAAUGGACUCAGAGGAUGAAAAAUUCGUCAUUUCAUUCUUCUCAGUGUAAGUAAAUUCUGAAUGCUACUGCUAUUGUUUUUCUUAUCAAGCGGCUAUCUUGAGUUCCAUCUUUUAGGCCCAUACGUUUUCAGGUUCUAAUUUCUUGUCUAUUGCAGGGCCUCUGGAAGGCAGUGAUCACAGGAUUCCCUCCGACGUAUCCAACCAAAAAAGACUUCUUCUUUCAUUGCUGUCUGCUUAAUACGGUCUUGACACUAGAGUCAAUUUUGGAACAGCAACUUCUCUGCUUAAUAAGAAUCAGAAGUCAGAUAUUGACUUCUGUACACUAAGACAGAGACUUCUGUACUCUUGUAUUCUUUUAACUUUAAGAGCAACAAAGAAGAUCUCUGAUCCAAACAUCUACUUGAGUAGUUUGGAACCACAAUAAACAAAGCUACAAUUUUUUUUUUAAGUUUCAAUUUAAAACACAGCAUUCAUUUCAUCAAAAUAACCCGUCCAUUCAAACCCACAAAAUAUCAGACUUAAAAAAUAAUAAAAAAUAAAUAAACGCAGUACACAGCAAAUAUAUACUCCAACCUUGACGGCCUGAACAAAGGAGUCGAAAUUGGAGACAGAGAAGCAGAUAUGAUGACCCCUGGGGAGAUUCUUGGGGUCAGCCACUGCAGAGGUGGAACUCCAUGGACCUUCAGGGAGCUUUGUGGUAGGGUCCCUCUCAAUUAGAUGAAGGUAAAAGGAUGGUUCCAACUUCAACCAUAUUACAUCGAACUCAAACCUUGGACUUUCUACCCGCUGAAAACCAAAUACCUGCAACCAACCCACAGGCUGAAUUCCCCAUUUUCAUCCAAUCUUUACAUAAUUGUCAAGGCAUACAAACCUCUAUAUAGAAUUGAGCCAAGCGUUGGAUAUCUGAGGAUUCCCUAGAGACAUGAUUGAGGGAUACUCCCUUAGCCGCCGCAGCUGCCAUCUAUACCUUUUUCAAUAAUGGUUCUGGCUCUUUUUCUUUUCUUUUUUCUCAGAUUAGCAAUGGAAUGAGUUGUGGGAAAAUUCGGUUUCCUUGGUGUUUGCUUGUGGUGUCUACGUGGAGUUUGGCGAGUAAAGAAGAUUAAAGAGUUACGUGAAUGUCUUGUUCCUUUUGGUAUUGGAGAGACCGGAGCCGGGAGGACGGGGGAAAUGGCCACCAAAUACUAGUAGUCCGGUGCCAGUAGUCUAUCAAAAGAGCUUCAAAAAUUUUAUCAAUCGCCAUAUGAAUUGCUAAAUUCUUGUACCAUUUUUUUUAGACUUAUUAUCACUUUAAUCCCUUAAACUAUCUCACUACUAUCAGUUUAACUCUUAACGUUAUAUUUUAGUCGUUUCACCCCAUAAAUAAUUCAACUCAACAUGAUAAAUAUUCGGACAAAAGUACCCUUUUGUUAGAUAGCAUUACUACAUUGUUAUUAUCAUUUUAUUUCUUUAAAUUACAGUAAUACAAUCACUUUGAUCCCUGAUAUUAUUUUCUAAACAUUUUACCUCAUCAUUAAUCUAACCAAUAUAGUAAAAAAAAUUUAAAAGUAUUUACCAUUUAUUAUAUAUAAUUAAAAAUAAAAAGUUAGAAUGGUUAUUCUUCCUGUUGUUUUCACUUUAAGAGAUCCAAAUACAUAAAAAUAAAAAGGAUUUUCUCAAAUUUUUUUUUCACACUUAUUAAUACUAGAAAAUGAAAUAGGAGAGACGGAGAUAGAAAAUUAGAUUUUACAAAGAAAAAAAAAAUAAGAAUCUAACAUUAUCAUAUUACUUUAAGGUUAUUGGGAUUAGAAUUGAAAUUAGGUGAUAAAUAUAAAAAUAAAAUAAUUUUAGAAUAAUAAAAAUAUUUCAUUCUUUUUUAUUUCUAUUUUAAAAAAAAACAAUUGAGUCGAAUCGAGAUUGAGUAUCACUGUAUUCAAAUUUGACUCGACAUGUAAAAGGAUACUCAAACUUGAGUAGAUAGCAUUGUUAGAGCUCGAACUUGAUGAAUUGCUCAUAGAAUUCAAGCUUGACUCACAUGAGGGUCGAGUUACUGCGAGUUUCAUCGAGAUUGAAUCGGGAAAAUUUGGGAAUUUUGAAAAAGACAUUAUUGCCCUUCAAAAAAUUUCAUAUGACUUGAAAAAUUUCAUAAAUUCAACUACUCUUGUGAGUACAAGGGUAAUUUCAUAAUAAUAUUAUAUUAAAGAAUUAAAAUUAAAAGCUUGAUAAGGCCCAAUGAACUAUCAAAUUUUACUAUUGGAUAUUCGAACUCGACUUGCAAAAUCUAUCGAGCUACUCGAACCCGAUCAACCCGAGUUCAAAUCGAGUUUUUGACCAAGUUGCUCGCAAGCAGUUCGGUUUAAUUACAACCAUAAUUGUGUCAAUGGCAUCAGCCUGAUUAAUACAAAAUUCUUCAAAUUUAGAUAAGUGCACAAUUUAAGAACUAGAUGUUUCAGACAGUUUAAUUAGCCACAUUAAUCCCUAAGCUCUGUGUAAGAAUAAUAAAAUACUGCACUAUAAUAAACGCAAACUCAAUAUAGAUGGAACAAAUUCAAAUGUAGAAAGAAUCUUUUGUUUUUUCAUUCCUCAGUUGAGAUAUUUUUAAUACUUUGACAUGUGUCAUUUUCUAUGAUUAUUGAAUCAUUUUAAAUUUUUAAUAAAUUUGUUGAUGUUAUGUAAUAGUCAUUGUUUGCUAAAUUCAAACUCCAAGACGUAAAUUUAAAUGUCUAAAUCCUUACAUUAUUUUAAAAUUUUAAAUUAUUUUUUAUUAUUUAUAAAUCCGUGCAUUGCAUGUAACAUAAUGCUAGUAAACUAGCUAUAGAAAUCCUUGUGUUUUUUUUUUCUCUUUUAUUCUUUUUAAUUAAAAAGGGCAUCUCACAAAUAAUUGCCAAGCUUUCCCGAGUUUCGCUGAAAGGUCUAUACCGAUCCCGAUUUCGCACCAUCCUUCACCUUAAAACUAUGGCAUUGUCAUCAAUGCCUAACAAUCCUCUCUGUCUCUGGGCAUUGUGAUUUCUUCCAGCGAAGAGAGGGAGGAGGAGAUUUAAUAUUAGGUUCAUAAUGGCUGGAUCCUGUCAACAUCUAAAACCUGAUGAAUCUCCCUCUCCUUUUAGUCCCUUCCAUGAAGGAAUAUCAAUGUUGUUAUCAAGAUGGACAGCCCUACAAAUGGCCGUCCAAAACCAAUGGGGUGGCCGUGAUUCUUUCAUGAAAUCUCAGCAACUAGCCUAUGAAAUUAACUCUUGGUUUUCUCAACCUAAAGGUACCGAAUGCGAAUCCUUUCAUCUUGAAUUUGAUAGCGCCGAAGAAUCCAAUUAUAUGUCGAGUCAAGUUUCGUCAUUACACCAGAGUCUCAUUGGCCAUACAGCAAACUGUAUACGUUUGUACCUCUAACUAAUGAUCUUAAUCUAUGAACCAGUUGUGCGGCCUGAGACUGUAUGGUUUAACCGUGCAAUUGGCAUGAUGCAAUGUUUUACAAGAUCGAAUGAUAGAAAAGUAUAAUUUAAGACCCGAGCAUGAAGCAUGCAAUUUAAAUUUACAAGAGUCGAGACGAGUAAUGUGGUGUCUCAAGACCAUUUAAGUCAGCCAUCGCUCCAUUUUUUAUUUUUAUUUUUUGGGUUUUUGCUUCUAUAACAGGAAUUUUUGGUUUAGCAGAGGGCCUUACUUCUCGUAAAUUGUUAUAUAAAUACAGUAUCUCUUCAUAUAGAAGACUUAGAGAGUCUGUUGCACGAGAGAUUACUCCUUUCUUUCAACACAGAGAUUGAGGAUGGCAGUAUUGAGGAGGUACUAAUCUUAAUUAGCUGCUUAAAAUGUUCAUAAAGAUUAUGAAGUUUCGUCUGUUUCAGCUGUAUAUGCCCAUAAGUUUCAUAUGUGAGACAACAGGAUUCCAUCAGUAGCAGUAGAGCAUGCAGGGCCCCUGCGCUGCAUCUAGAAAAGUCACCAUUUCAUAAUUCAUGAGAGGUCCAGACAAUUACUGCGUUCCUGCUCCUGCUUCCCUGUUUAAUGUACUGAUCUGUGCUACUUUACGUCCAAUCAGAUUGCAGAACAAUUGAUGACAAUGCAUGAAGAAUCUUUGCAUGGGAAUCGGAGAUUGAGCGUGGAGUCAAAUCAACACUUGUUGGAAUCUGCUCAAGAUGCUCCUUCAAAGAGGACUGGUGCGCAUUCGCUAGCCACCUGAUUAAUGUACGUCUCUUUUUUUUUUUCUUCUCGUUGAAAAACUUUUUUUAAGAUAAAGUCUUUAUUAAAUUUUAGAUGAUCAUGUAAAAUAUAAAAUUAAAUUAAUAUAAAUAAUUUUUUAAAAAAAUUAAAUGAUAAGUAAGACGAAGUGAGUACUCAUUGAUCCGACCCUAUUUCAGUGAAUAUCCGCUAAAAUGCGAGGUAAGUAAGAGUUAUAAAAUGAUUAACCUGCAAAGUGUAGGUCGGAUCAACCAAAUAGUGGACGAGGCAUAUCCGACCCGUGCCCACCCUUAAAAGGUAUUUACAAUCUGAGCAAAAGCUGAUUAAUGUAUACACAUCUAAAUUCCUCGGAAGUUCAACAUGGAGCUAAAACUGUACAUAUACUCUGGGGAGAUGUAAAAUUCAAUUAACUAUGAAAGCGAACUAAUCAAGAAACCUUGAGACUUGCAGCAACAUAAAUGCCUUAUUUCAGAUUUCAUGCCCAUCAAUGUUGUUCACCGUGCUUUGUUAAACUUCCCAGAUUGACUGCACCUGACUCAAUUGUAGCUUAAUUAAUGUAGUUUCUCAUCUUCCUCCAAAAAAAAGAAGAAGAAAACAUAAAAUUCCCAGCAAUAUAGUACAUUGGCGUAGGCAUGAACAAGUACAUGCACAUAUUGUGCACAAUAUCUCAUACCUAAAAAAGAAGCAACACCAAUACGGAACGUUAUUCCCUUGAGGUGCCUCUUGGUAGAGAAUGACAAUGACCAUAUAGGCAAAGACAAGGCAGCAAGGUAUAUCAGCAGGCAACAAUGGUGAAUUUUAUUUGGAGAGCAAUCCUAUAAAUCUAUGUCAUGGUUGACGGGAGGAUCACCUUCGAGCUACACAAGGCCAGUGAUGAUGAAAAUUUUCUUUGGUGUUCGCUACAAAAUUUCUACACACUUAACAUAAUGCUUUCACUUGAGAAUCUACAGAAGAGGAAAAAAAAAGUUAGUAAGUUUUUCUUCAGUUGGUAGUAAUUUUCUUGUGGUGCUUGUUUUUCGUUAACAACUGCAGGGUUGGAAUAAGAUGCAUAAGAGCAUAAUGGCCAUUUCGACCUUGUAGAACUGCAUGCUUGGAGCUGAUGUUUUAACGUAUCCUACUCAACAAAGGGAUGGCCCGAACGUCCAGGCCUUUUCGUAGCAUGCAUCUCCAUCUUGCCGAACCCAAAAGGCUUAUUCACUAUCUUAUCAUUGCGUAUGUAACACCAUUGAUUCCGGCAUGGAUGAAACUCCGGUUGUGCAAUUAACUUGGAAUGCUCCUCAGUUUUGUAUCAUGCUCACAUCGUGCCAAUUUCAAAAUAAUAAUAAUAAUAAUAAUAAAAGGUGAGGAUAGCUGUGCAAUUUAAUCAAUGACCAAAAAGGAAGAAAAAAAUAUAGCCGUUCAAUUUAAACAAUGCAAAAACGAAAAAAUAAAGGUGAGUAUACAUAUGCAAUUCAAACAUCCAAAGAAAAAAAAAAGAAAGAAGAGAAUGUGUCUCUGCAAUUUAAACCGUAGAAUUCUUUUUUUUUUUUCUUGCCAUUAACAAUUUACCAAAUUUGCACAUUUGAAUACUAGUGAUGGAAGUAGAUAGAAUUCAGAACUCUUAAAAAUGUCAAAAAUACUUAAAUAACGCUAAAAAUAUCGUAUAGAAAAUCAAUGAUCAUAACGUUAUAACGCUUUCAUAUGAUGUAAAAGCUCAAUGGUUAUAACGUAUGUACGUUACGAUUAUACCAUGUGAAUUGCCCUAAGCAGUUCAAAAGUGUAAACGAUAGUAAAAACUUUGCUCAUAUACUAUGCAAGAGCAUGAGUGGACUUUUACCAUGUAUAGUUCCGAAACUUCAAUGCUUGAGCUCCCCGUAGAUGUGAUAAGGUUACAAUGCGUUAAAAUCACCAAUCUUAUUUCUUGGAGGUGUGAUUGUAUCUGGUCUAAAUACGGCUGCAUACCAGUCGAGCAGCUCGACUCAAAACUCGAUGUGAACUCGGUCAACAUCGAGUUGGAGUUGAAUUUGAACUAAUUAAAUCGAACUCGAAUUCAAAGAUACUUAACUCGUGAGCCAGUUUGAUUAUGUGUAUCAGUGUAUGUAUAUAUAUGUGUGUGUGUAUGUAUAUAUAUACAUAAUUUUAGUAGUGAAAUUAAUAUAAAUCCCUAAUAUUUUAUUAUUUAUUAAGAAAAAUUAUUAUUUUAUUUAUUUUUUUAAGCUCGGGUUUAAACUCAACUCGAUUCGAAUUUGAGUCGAUAUCGAGUUCAAACUUUACAUUGAGAGUUCGUCGAACUCGAACUUGAUAAAAUUAAGUCAAAACAGAGAUCGAUAGGUCAAAACUCAACUUGACUCGAUUCAUUUGUAGCACUACAUCCAAAGUUUACAUUGAUAAAUAAAAUGACAUUUUUUUUGCAGAAGAGGAAAACAAAUCCCUACAAUAACUUGCAGGUGCAUAAUAAUACGAAAAUAUAGCUGCCAUUUCAAAUAGGAGUUGACAUGCCUCAUAUCCGGUGCUUUUUUCCUUACUUUUUAAAAAAUAUGAAAUAAAGAAAAGCUAUUAUAUCAAAUUUUUCGUGCAUAUAUAUAGCCAAGUAAUUUAAUAUAUAUGAAAUACAAAGGUAAUUAGAAAGAUAGUCAAGUAAUUUAAUGUAUAUGAAAUAAAAAGGUAAUUAGAAAGGUAAAAUGUGUAUGCAAGGAAAAAAAUGAUUUCAAAUAAUAACGUAUCAACAGUAUUGAUUCACCCUAUUCCCAAACAAAGGCUGAAAACUAGGAGGGGUGAAAUAGUCAUUUUAUUUCCUACCAGUUGUCACGGAAUGCUUCCAAUAAUCUGGACACGAGUAUAGAGAAAGCCAGUCUGAAGAAGAUCACCGUUCAACGCCACUUAAACACUCACAUGCAGUAACAGAGCAUAGCUGAGCCUAAAGGCUAAAGGCCUCUUAAGUUGCAAUCUAGUAAGUAGUAACCAUCAGAAGAUGCUUUCAAAGACCCCUUAACAUUUGGAGCUGAACCAUUUACCAAUUUUCUCCUAUCUUUGUCAAUUAUCUCUCUGAUCAGACACUCACUUGUAGGUGUUCUGCCGUAAGUAUUAUUUUGAUCUUUGUUCACAUUUCUUGGCUUGAUCAGCGUGACAUGCAAAUGUUCUUAAAUUGAAUGCAAUUUUCUUUAUUUUCUGUUAGAAUUCCUGCAUUUUAACAACGUCCCUUAUUUUGGUUUUAUAUGUGGAUAUACAUACGGUUUGGGGGAUUGCUUGGGGUGGGGAAUGAGAGACAUAAUCAAACCGUUUCUUUUGAGUGGUGGGAUUGUUUUACAAGAAAUUAUAGAUAGAUGCAUGUUGUUAAUGAAAAAAUCAGUUGUAUUUGGGGUAAUAUUUUUCAUCUAGUGCGAGAGUCAACAUUCUCAUCUCUGUUUUAGCUUUUUUUCUAGUUACUUUUUUUUUGGGGUUUUCUUUUCAUGCUUUAGUCGAUCCAUUUGGUUUGCUACUUCAGCAACCAAAGAUGAUCGGAUCUGGAGUUUUCACUUCUCAUUCUGCAAAUAUGUUGUAACAAGCCCCUUUUUGCAUCCACUUUGACUCAAGUGUUUAGUUUUUGCACCAUCAUAGGACAAAAACAUGUUUCUUGAUAAUUGGUGUAGGGACUCUACUUUGUACAAAGGCGUGCAAGUAUCACUUAGUGAUCAGUAUAAUCUUUGUAUUCCAUCUGUUGGGAGUGGCUCCUAAUACAUGUAGGCAGUUGCAUGCUUAUCAGAAUCUUUGUCCAUUUGAGUAUUAUGAGUGGUGGGAUGUAUGGUAUAGUAUAGCGUACAAGUUUCACUUGGUUUAGGACAGAAUGUUAGCUUUUCGGUUAUGCUCUACAGUAGGCUUGUUAGCUAAAUUUUUUAAUUCAGUUAGAAUUUGAAACUUAUGCAAGAAAUGUGGAUAUUUGGCAUUAAAUUCAUGUGUUUCUUCCCGUAAAAUAUUUGAUUUACACGUCAUAACUAUCAAUCAAUUAACAUGACUGACUCAUAGUUGAGCUCAUGAAUCCAUUGGAAAAAACAUUGUGCUACGGAACAUGACAUAUUCUAAUGCAAGAGCUUGAAAAUCGAAAAUGCAGCCAAAAGGAGACUUGUUGAACUUUUAUUAGCUAGAAUAGAUGUGGAAUAAGAUCUAGUCGUUUUUGUACCUGCUUACUUUUCUUAAUUCUAUCCCGUUAUUAAUUGUGCACCAGAGACAUUGAAUUCCAUUGAGCUUGACUUUUGCAAGGUGAGGAAACAUGAAGACUGAUGUUUCCAAGGCAGGUCAUGACUGCAGACCCUUGAAAAGAAAAUCAGAAGUUCUUACUAGUCCAGUUCCACCUGGAGCGUCGGGCAAAGGUUUGCCAUAUGCUCCAGUUGAUUGGCCAAAUGUUGGUGAUAUUUGGGGUUGGAGAGUUGGAACCAGAGUUAGGGUGGCAGGAUUCUACAAUGAUCGGUUCUUGUAUGCUCCUCAGAGGCUCCAAAAGAAGCCUACUAGAAAACUACUAUUCCAGAGCAAGCCAUCUGUUUUACGUUAUCUAAAAUCACAAUUCCCUGAAGCUGACAUUGAAGAAUUUUUUGCAUCAUUCACUUGGGAUGUUCCAGCAGAAGCUCAUUCUUCAAAACUAAGUAAGCAAUUUGCCAUUGUUAAUGUGCAGAGAUUUUUUGAACGUUGCGUGUUGACAUUGCUUUGUGGACUGUAUUCUAUGUUUCGUUAUUUUUUUCCAAUAUAAUCUUCAUGGAUUGAGGACAGUUGAUAAUGAGUAUAUAAAAGUUACUUGGACUUUGGUUUAUUAGCUCUGAACCAAUAUACGUAGUAUGUUUUGGUGAUAUUGUGGUUAAUCUGUAGCAGUUCAUUACCAAAAGAUGGUGGUUCUAUGUCUUUCUUAAGUUACAAGUUGGGUAUAUUUCAUUAUAGUCUCAGUAGACAUCAAUUGGCUUCUGAAACCUGAAAUCUUUGUACAUUAUUACAUUGUUGUUAGAGACCUCUUCUUCUGUUCCAUUUGGUUGUAUGAUCACACUCUGUUAAACAUUGUACUUCUCUCCUUUGAACAUAGCUAAUAGGCACAUGCUUUCUACCUUAAAGUUAUGCUUUAGUUGAAUUGAUUUGCUGUCGUCUAAUUUAAUAGACUUUUGAUCUUCAAACCCUUUUCUUGUCUAUGCAAAACUAUGUACCCAUUUCUCCUCAAGGAUAUCUGCUUAAACUUUUACAUGAUUCAGACCUUCUAUCUUCUGCCAAAUUCUUCUUGAAAGUAUACGACUGCGUGAGCACUCUUUCAAAAAAUGUUGGCACCUCACCUUGUUAGACGUAUGGAAUUGAUUGAAUGUAUCAUGAUGUACCCAUCCAAUUCCUCAUUCUAUCAGACUUUAUUUCACCAUGAUUUCUGAACCCUGCAAAUCAAAUUAGCAUCAGAACCAAGGGAAAUUUAUAAGCAAUUCAUAAAACAUUUGUCUACCAUCCAAAUAAUAGCACUCAUAAGCAAUUCAUAAAACAUUUGUCUGCCAUCAUAGCAGUAGUAACAGCUUUGUGUUGCGGGUUUGUGACCUUCAUUAGCUCUCAACGGGAAUUCUGUAAGUUGUACAAGUUAUUGCUCAAAGUUCUUUUCUGCAACAAAGUUAAAAUUCCCUUUCUUCCUGCAAGGUGUUUUGCUUAUGGACUUGUCAGGAUAAUCUUUUCUUUCUUGCAGGCAAAUGCAGUCCUAGUCCCCAAUCACGCCCUUUGAAAAAAGAAUCGGGUAAAUUGGUAAAAGUUGUUGAAGUCUCUAAUAAAAAACAAAAAGCUGCAGUAAAGAAACCAAGCCAGAAAUCUGCUAGGCGGUGCGGUAAAGAGCUCAUGGUAGAUGUGCCUGCAGUAGAAGAACAAACACUUGCGAGUGGUCCAACAACCAAGAUUUCGGGACGUAGCCAAGUCUCUGACAGUCAUGCUAUUGUGUCUCCACAUGAUAGUGCAUGCCACUCUCCGAUUGACCUCAAACCACAGGGUUUGAAAUCCCUUGACGAAUCUCAGCCCGGAUUGAUUCCUGAGGACUUUGAUUAUUUCCUGAAUUCCCUUGAUGAAAUCCUCUUUCUGCCUAUCACUAGAGCCGAAAUUUCUGACCCUGCUGCUUCUUCGCACAAAGAAGGCAUGACUCAAAUCCGAUCAAAACUUUCUUCUCUUCUUGCCAUGGGUUUUGCUAGCUUAGCUGACUCCAACAAGCUUACUGAACUCAUUGCCCUGGCGUCUAAGCUCAAAAACGAUCCAACACUGAGUCCUAGAGAAAUUUCCAUGCUAAAGUUGAUUGAAGAAAUUCCAAUGGCCAGCAACAUCUUCCUAGAGGCUAAGAAGUUACCAGGACAAGCUGAAAAGUUCUUUGCUGACCUUGAUGCCAAUAUGGCUACUGUUGCUUCACUCAGGAAUGAAUACAGCGUAGCAAAGCAGCAACUAGAAAUUUGUCAGGCGGACGAAGCAUCUGCCUUGUUAACUCUAAUGGAAAUUGAUGAACAAAUUGCUGCUUUGCAAUCACGUCGGCCAGAGAUCACUCAAAAUGUAAAGCUGACCAACAAAAAGAUCGUUCAAUACUCCUGCAGUCAAAAAAAAGUCAUGGAGUGUCUCCCAAAGAUUGUCCACGAUGUUCAGGUAGCCAAUUCUGAAAAGCAAGAAUGGGAGCUUAGAAAGAAGAGAUCAGCUGAGCAAGAGGCUGAGAUUCUAGCUAAAUUUGCACCACUUGAUGGGUUUUCAUUUUGAUCAGAAUCUGCAUUACCUCUUGGUAUGGGACCUUCUAGUUUCUAGUGCUUGGACUAUGUCACAACUACUCGUUCUGUAUUUUACUAAUUGUGAAGGCGAACUUUAUUUUGUAUUCAAGGUGGUAUGCAGAUUGGUUGCAAAAUGCUAACUAGUUCUUGGUAUCCCCUCACUGACUGGAUUUUGAUGCAGUGAUUCAUCGGUAGAUACUUUUGUUUUGAAUAGUUUUCGUAAUAUAACUUGACCUUUAAAAACUUGAGCUGGGAUGCGUAUUCCGGUGCUUUUGUCAUUUUUGGAUUGAUUUUUCUGAUAAGCUACCUUAAAAGCCGAUUAAAUCACUUACCAACCGGUUUUUUUUUUUUUUUGGUUUUAAACCUUUCUCUCUUCUCACACCCUUUCCACCUUUAGAUUUUUGGUUCUGACUCUUCGCUUGGAGUCUCCUUUAACCAAAAAUAAUAAUAUUUUACUGAUAAAUAACCAACAAAUUAUUAUUUUUUUUACAAGUAAUUACAAGCUGAGUUGUAAUUCGUAUGAUUAAUACAAUAUAGAAGAUGUAAAGAGAUCAUUUACAAACGGGAGAUAUCAUCGUUUACAGAUGGAAAGAGUAAAAUUUACUCACAAGCAAUAUUAGAUUAGUAUAUAGUAACGAAUUAAUUUUUAUGCAGCGUCAAUGAAAUUUUAACUAACAAAUAGGUUCAGAUGCAUAUCACAUAAUCUAAAUUUAAAUUUAAAAUUUACUUUUUUUUUUGCACAUACGACAUGCAUUUACACUUACUACUAAUUACAUAUAACCUUUUAAAAUACUUUAUAAAAUUGUUCUUAACUAACCAAACCAAGUUGGGUUAGUUAUUGUGAGAUUGAUUUAUCAUAAUGUUAUUAUUCUUAUUUUAUUUAGUGCAAUAAGGGUUUAUUUGAACAUUAUUGUUGUCGAGUUGGAUUUGAUUUCUUCUUUUGUUCUUGAGCUUAAUUAAGUUUUUAUCUCAACAUUAGAAAAGCUAUAAAAGAAAUAACUAUAAAAAAAUACAAAUCUGAAAUCUUUUGGGUUGUAUCAAUUUUUAUCAACUUAAGUUAGCUUGAUUAUGAAUCAGCCUCUUAACUUAUGGAGCUUGGGUUUUUCUUUUCUUUAUUUUUUCUGAAUUGUUCGGAUAGGUUGUUAUUUGAAUAAAAUAUUAUUUUAUUGCAUCAUAAGCACAUUUUUCCAACUACUUUUUCAUUUCACAUAGUAUAUCAUAUCACAAAAAGUGCUACAAUACUCUUUUUCAAAAUAUUAUUCCAAUAAUCUCCUAUCCAAACAUACCGAGUUGAGUUAUUCUAGAAACCUAUUAAUACCCGAUAACAAUCCAUGUUACGACCAUUUUCCUUAGAUUUUUGAAUUAUGCUCUUCUUUAUGAGAUUUGAUUGAUAUUAUCUAAUAGUUAUCUGUUAAUUUAAUUUAAAUGUCUAAAUUUGUACAUUUUUUAAAUGUAUCCAUUUAUGCAAAAUAUUUUGAAGAUUCAGUAGUGUGAAAAUGCUUACUGAUUAAAAAGAAUCACAAAUUUUUAUUAGCUUAUUUCUUUUUUUAUUAUUAUUUUUAACUUAUUUCACAUCCAUAAAAUGUAAAGGAUGAUUGGUGCAAUUUUUUCUAUUUCAACAUAUAAUUGCGCCUUAGAGUAAUACAAUAGACUAUUAUUUUAUUGGUAAUGGAUCAAAUUCUCCUUAAUACCCUCAAGGCUUUCUCAAGUUUCGUGGGAAUUGAUUGUUCAUCUCUUCAAGGUAUUCUCAUAAAAAUUUUAGGAUUUUUAUUAUAGUAUUUUAUCUUUGAACACAACUUGUAUAUAGGCCUUUGUUAGGGUUGAUAUAUAAUAGAUGAUCUAUUGUUAUUUCGUUGAUAUUGAAUCAAAUUCUUUUGAGUAUCCUUAAGGCCUUUUGAAUUUUGUGUUGAGAUUUUACAAGGAAAAGAUAGUUGUCUCUCUUGAAAUUUUACGGAAAAAAAAAAGAAAAAGAUCAGCAUCUCUUGAAAUUUUAAUGAAAUUAUGAUGUUUUAUUUAAAAGGAAAAAACCAAGGGCACUGUUAGAAUUUCAGAUAACAAGCUUGGACAAAGCUGAUUAAUCAAAAGUUGCCGACUUGCCGUUACGAAAUUAAAACUGAAACGGAGCAGACACCAACAGACUAACAGAGUCAACAGAGUGAUGGGGUUUUUGGGGUUUCUCUGAAUCAGAUACAGCUCAACCCCACCGUAAAAUCCUUACUCCCGCAUUUUUCUGUUUUUCCGUACAUACACAAUACUUGCAAUCUUCCAUAAUUAUAUCUCGCCAGUACAAUUGUUCUUUUAUCAAGCUCUGAAAUUUUUUUAAUCAUCAUUUUCAUUAAUUGAUCAAUUAAUUCUCCAAAUCUUCCAUUCCCUUUUUUUUUUUAACAAAAAAAUUCUUGUUUUUUGGGUUCAAUUAGGUGAGCUCCCUGUUUUCAAUCAAAUUCAGCUUCUCACCAGAUAAUGCGUAUUUCGUUCAGGUAUUAACUCAUACGACUGUGUGUAUUAGCGUGUGUUCGUGUACAUUGAUAUCUAUACACGCAGAAAAGUACUUGUACAUUUGUUCAAUUGAAAAUGUUAUUUAUUUUGAAUGAUUUCGGAAUUUGCAUUGCUCUGAAAAUCUGUGUUUUUUUUUUUUUGGCAUUUCUUGGUAAUUUUUUUUGUAAUUUUAUAGAUUUCAUUUCUGUUAUCGUUUGACUUCUAGUAAACGUGAAUCAUAAAUUAAUACGGAUUUUUUUUUGAGUAUUUUAUGGUACUUGUUUAGAGAAAAUUAAACUUCACAAACGAAUGGAUAACUAUAAAAAUUAUAGUUUAUCAAAAUUUGUGAUUUUUCAAUAGUGAGGAGCUGAAUCACUGACUCUUUGACAGAAGAAUGGUCGAAAUAUUAAUGGGACUGUGUUAGUUGCUUUUCUUAAAGUUGAUCGGUGAAAUUUUUGUUUUUUUACUGGGGUUUGAAUUUGAUGCUCUUUUUGGUUCAACUUUAAACUUGAAAUUCUGCUGCGAAAUGGUUAAGAGUUUCGAAAACAUUCUGGGAUAGAAGUUCAAUGGAUGUGAUGAUGGCCAGAACAGUGUGACUUGGACAUGGAGUCAUUUUGAUUGAAGGAUGCAGAGGUAUAUCACGCUAAGAUGAGUUGAGUGAACUUUUUAGGUCCCUAUCAAUAGCGUUGAGUUUGAGCUUAGACUUUGUGAAUUUGAUUGCCGUUGAGUUGAGCUUGAACUUCGCUCUUCUGAAUCAACUGCAGCCCUGGUUGGCAUAGUUGAAUGAAGUCUUUAUUAGGUUAUUGUUGGCCCUGAUAUCUCAUCAUGUUCAUUUGUUUAAUUGCUGAUUCAAGAUUCUCGAAGAUUUUCUUUUGCUUUGUUUUAGCUAAAUGACCUUAUGGCAACAAUUUUCUAAGUUGUGAGAUGAAUGUCUAUAGUAACCGUUGUAGUGGAUUUUUCUGCCUUAUAUGCAGCUAGAUAUCCCAACUAAGUCAGUGGGCGAAAAAACAAGAUAUGGAGAUUGACAGUCCAGAUGCCAGUAGUGGAAGCAUAUCUGGGACACGUGAAGAAAAUGGGUUUCACCUUAAUCGUGUUUCUGUAGGUGAUUAUGGUGAGGGGUUGCCUUAUGCUCCCAUUGACUGGCCUAAGCCUGGGGAUAACUGGAGCUGGAGAGUGGGGAAAAGGAUUGCAUCAUCUGGCCACUUCUUGGAUAGAUACCUUUAUCCUCCUAAACACCUUCAGGAUCCUCAUCGUAAGAAAGUUGGCUUAGCAAGCAAGCAAUCAGUUGAGCAGUUUAUCCGGGCAAAAUUCCCAAAUGCUGAUGUUAAUGCAUUUUUUGCCUCAUUUAGUUGGAAGAUCCCUUCAAAGCAGCUACGCCUUUUUGGAAUGACAGGUUUGCGUCAGAAUUUAUCUACUGUAAUCGUCUGUGAGCAAUAUAAUUUCAUAUGAUUUAUGAGAACAUGAACGGUAUUGUUAGCAAGUAUAUGCAAAUUUCUGUACAUGAACUCAUAUCAAUUUCUUAUGCAUGAUUAAACUUCAACAAGUUUUAAGGUCAAUCAUAGGGAUCUUAGAUUCUUCCACUCUUAUUUGCAUUUUGAUUAGUGGAAAUGAAGCUGAUGGAUAUUAGAAGCUCAGCAUCUAACAGGAUCUUAACUUAAAAUUCUGGUCAUCUUAAGCCUUUGAGGCUUGCAAAUUAAUUAGAAAGGAUACUGGGAACUGGCAAGGGCUCAGGGUUCAUCUUCUUUUCUGGUUGAUCAACUGAUUGAGAGUUGUCUUUUCUUCUUUCUUGAGGACAUUCAGAUUGAAUUCUUUCAUAGCAAAAAAUUUCUUUAGUCAGAAGACUGAAUUUUUCACUUUGCAAAUCCUUGUUCAUUUGAAUUUUGAUCUUUCUACUUGGCUGCACUAUACUGUUUUCAGCUUCCCAUGCUAUUCUUCAAUUUGAUAGCUCAACUUUGGUGUAGAUGAUAAGGAGGAGAAUCCACCCUCUGUGGAGGCAGAAGAAACGUCAGCCUCUGAUUCCCCAAUGGCAGAUCUGACUUGCAAGGCUGGUAACAAAACAUGUACCAGUUUAGGAGCAGUUGGGAGUGCUUCAGGAGUCAUGCUUUGUGAUAUAUGCUGCAGUGAACCUGGUUUCUGCCGAGAUUGUUGUUGUAUUCUUUGUUGUAAGACCGUAAGUUCAUCUUAUGGUGGGUAUAGUUAUAUUAGGUGCCAAGCAUUACUAAAUGGUUAUGCUUGUGGUCAUGUUGCCCAUUUAAACUGUGGUCUCCGGGCUUAUAUGGCUGGUACAGUUGGGGGGACUAUUGGUUUGGAUGCAGAAUACUAUUGCAGGCGCUGUGAUUCAAGGUUGGAUCUUGUUUCACAUGUCAGAAAACUUCUAAAGACCUGUGAAUCUAUCGACUCGCGGGAUGACAUUGAAAUGAUUCUGAGUGUUGGCAUAUCUAUUCUGCGUGACUCUCGGAGAGCUAGUGCGAAACAGUUGUUGGAUCAGAUCUCAUUGGCAAUGUCAAAGGUAUAGCUCAGUAACUAUUUUGAUCUAGGAAAUAUAUUUAGUCAAGCAAUAUCUAUUGUUUCUACAGCUUCAAGACAGCAUCAUGACCAGUCUUUUGUAAACAUCAGCUCAGAAAGGGUGCAGACCUUGAAGAUGUCUGGAAGAAGGAAGAAAUAGUUGAAGUUACAGAAGGUAACUUCUAUUGCAAUUUGGUUUUUAACAUUAUAUUCAGAUGAAUUAAAGCUCUCAACUUUUGCUUUUGUGAAGAUGCUCUUUCAGGAACUUUAGAGUAGUUUUUGAGAGACAUCACAUGUAGGGCUGCAAACGAAUCGAGCCACUCGCGAGUCGAGGUCGAUCAAUAUCGAGCUCGAGUCGAGCUCCAGCUGGCUUGAGUCGAAAUCGAGCUCGAACUCGAGCUCAAAAUAUUAAGCUCGUUAGCUCGCGAGCCGGCUCGCGAGCUCGAGUAUAUAUAUAUAAUAUUUUUUAUUUUUUUAUUUUAAGUAUAUAUGUAUUUUUUAUUUUAAGCAUAUAUAUUUUUUAUUUUUUUAUUUUAAUAGUAAAAGUACAUAUAUAUCCUUAAUAUUUUUAUUAUUUAUUAAAAAAAUAUUAUUUUAUUUAUUUUUUAAAAAAUAAAAUAAUUAUUUUUUUUAUUUUUUUCGAGCUCGAAGUCGAGCUCGGCUCGAAUUGAUUCGAGUCAAGCUCGAGCUCGAAAUUGCCGGCUCGUCGAGCUCGAGCUCGAGUUCGAGCUUGGUAAAAUUUAGUCGAGGCUCGGCUCGAUUAGCCUAAAGCUCGACUCGACUCGGCUCGUUUGCAGCCCUAAUCACAUGAAGAGAGGCAUAUGUGCAGGGAAUUAGUAGUCAAUUUUGUGAUGACAGAGUCUUCUUUGAUGGAUAAAUUGCACCAUGUAGGAAAUUUUAUAGCUUGGAUCUGACAACAUUAAAGAUUAGGCAAAUAGAGAAAAGUCAUAACUUGUACAUGUGGGGAGUUUAAAUGAAAGAGAUAGUUUGAGCAUUUAAUCAUCUGCAUUCAGACUCAAUAUCACGAAUAAACUUUUCUAUUGAGUGCACGAUCCUCCCUGGACCAUCAAACUGUGUUAAUGAAAGAAAUCUGUGAAUGUUAAUUCCUGCUAACUACGAUUGUAGCAAUUGUCAGUUAAGCGAGCCUUAUGUAUUUGUUGGGUGAAGCUCUAAUUCUGUACAGACUUCUUGCACUGUAGCUUUUCCACAGCAAGCCUACAGAUGGAUACUGUAGUUUACUGACUGUCUCAAAGAAUACAUCCAUACAACUGCAUCAUCAUCUUGACAAAUGGAUUAGUUGAUUAAGUUUUUGGCUGGGCCCCAUCUGUUGUAUAUGACUGGCCUUAUGAGUGUUAUGAGGCUAUCAUUCAUUUUUUGAAGAUAACCUGAGUUCUUGUUCCUUCACUGGUCAAAAGUAUUUGACCUUCUUAAGGGACAACAAAAGUCUUAAAUGCAGACAGUGCUUAUUCUAAAUUCUUUCUGCAUCUUAUUCUAUGAUAAUUUGAUUCAGUUUUGCAUUCAAGGCCUUGGCAUUCACUAGUUUCUGUGGAUCUCAUACAGAGAAUGGAGCUUUGGAACUUGAGAAUCACGAGGAUCCUCCUGCAAACAGAUUCCUACAGCCACUAUUAUCUUCGAAGUUUGAUCAUCGAGUGGAAACUCUGGUACUGGAGGACGAAAUUGAUCAGAUUCUAAUGGCAUUAAAGAAGUCGCAGGAGUCUGAAUACAGACUUGCAGAGGAAGCCCUUUCUGUCCAGAAGAACUGCAUUCAAGAUUUGUAUCAACAGCUUGACCAUGAGAGAUCCACACUUUCACAGCGUGCGCCCUCUCCUGAUGCAGAUGCCGUACUUGAUUCCUUCCUUAGCAAGGUGGACCAUUUGAAACAAGAGAUAACGAAAUUCAAGGACAUGAAAGAAGUGGCAAAGGGAUUUGGAAGAACUCCCAAACAUAUUCUCAAGGAUCACUUUAACUUGGAAACUGAAAAUUGAGCGAUUUAAGCUGCUCGUCGUGUGUCUAUACAACUCUGUGUAGAAGCCUUGUACCAAAAUUUUGUGUGUAGUUUUUACAAGGAUUUUGUUGCCCCGUCUCUCUAGUUGGCAUGUGAUUCUGUUGUUUCUAGGAGAAUAUUUUCUUAUCAAGUGAACAUGCAAUGGCUAUAUCCAUGUCCACCAGAAAGACAAUAGCGAAGGGUAAUCAAUGUCAACAACAACGAUAUCCUUAUCAUCGUGUUAAUGACAUUGUCUUUCUUUGGUUUUCAGUUCAGCGGUGCUCUGUUUCAUUGCAGGUACAAAUAUGAAAAGGCCUGCAAAUUGUUGUUGGGAUAUUUACAAAAUUUUUCAUCUUCUGUGUGUAAAUCCUGGAUUUCUGGUUUCAUCAACCUAAAGGGUUGUUAGGCAUGGAGCUGUGAUCAAUUUAGCUGAACCUUAGGGUGAUCAGACCUCAAUCAGAAUCUAGCUUGCCCAAAGCUUCCAAAUUUUGCACUUAGAGAGCAUUGUUCUAUGGCUAAAUUGGGAGGCAACAAAAACCAUUUGUUUGGUUACAGGAAAAUUGAUGUGUAGAAGAGAGCAUCAUCAAGAGGAGGAGAAACAUCAGAUGAGUAUAGAUAAACAUCCUAGUCUUUUGUCCUUGAAUCACCUUGUCAACCAACACAUAAAACGUAAAUCUAUCCAACAAUCGUAGGAGUAUCUACUUUAUAGUAAAGAUAGCAAAAGCAAAUCAUUAACAGAGGAUUCCAUACAAAUUUUCCAGCCGAAUUCAUAGCCAUUCAACCGUCUACUGAAACUCUGGCAAUACAAAAGCAAAAUAGACAUUAAACUGUAUGUUUUCCUGAUCAAGUACAUCAGAAAUAACACAAAUUAAAUAGCAGGCACAUUAGAUUCAGAACACAAACAUGCGUCAAUGCAUUGGCAAUACAAACAUUUGCAUUUCAUGCAAACCCUUAUGUUUACCAUCUCAUCAUCCUUUCUUGAAUGUUUAAGCUUUAAUUCACUGAACAAGAACCAGCCGGCUGUCACCGAGCCACACGUCCCUUCCAUCACCAAACUCUCGAGAAUUGCCUUUAGGCACCGUGAUAAUAAGUUCUCCAUCGACAAACACCGCAGAAGCCAAGGCCGGCUGAGCUGACCGCGGAAGCCUAAAACGCCAUGUAUCUAUGUUCAAUUUGUCCAGCAACAAGUCCAGAUCUCCUUCAUCCUUCCUCACCACAAUCUUGGUAACCCCAGGGUGAAUCUCAACGGCGUGAGCCCUGACUUCAUUAGCAACAUCCUCGCCAUCGAUCUCAACUUUUGCGAUGAAGCGAAUGGUUUCAUGACUAUCUUCAACAUCAACAUCAGCAUCAGACCCAAAGGGCAAUUCUAGGACCUUGCCAAAGACAUGAGGAAGUUUCCUGAGUUUCUUGAGGGCAUGUCCAUUGACUGAAGAAUCAAAAGCAUCCCUCAUGUUCAUGUUUCUCUUGCUGCACAAAGGAUGAAUUCUCAUGGAGGUGGAGAUUUGUAGGGAGAUAAAUGGAUAAAAAGAAUCGAAUAAUAUUAAAGUGGAAAAGAUUAUUUUAUAAGAUUAAGAUUCUUGGUGUGGCAAAAAGGUUGAACCACAGACAAUAUAAAUGGUUUUAAAUGAAGGCUUCUUCUCUUAAGAUUACAUGAAAUUAACUGCUUUACGUAUAAUCUUUUUGGUAUGACCUAUUAAAGACGACGCAUUUUUGCUGAAGAAUUUUCUCAAAAGUUAAUAUAUUGUCCUAUAGGUCAUGCAUGCAUGUAGACCAUGGAUAUCUAUCAACAUGCAUAUAAACCUUUGAGAUGUGUACAUCUGCCAUUAUCUCUUUCAUUAGGGACUUUUGUAUAUACGUUUAAAAUGAUGGACAGAAAAGAGAGUUCCGGAAAUUAAGAUGGCAUCAGGACCUAGUUAAGCCAAAUGUACAGGUAUGGCUUGGUUUUGUGCCUUAUAUAUAGUAAUAUUUUAAGUAGGAUAUGUAUAAGGACAAUUUUUUCUUUCAUGAUCGAAUAUAGAGGCUAGAGAUUAAAGACGGGCUGGUAGAAAGUUGUACGGGGCGAAAUUUCAAUCUACUUUCUCGGGUGCUUUUAGAGAUUACCAGUAAUAUAUAUUUUUCCAAGAUAUAAAAUCUUUAAUAUAUUAAAUUUUUGUGUAAAAUUUUGAUUGUUAGCAUAAUAUAAAGGGUAAAAAACAAAAAAAUUCUCUGUGGUAAACCUAAUACACAGAAAAGCUCUCUAUGGUUUCAAAAUAUACAAUACGACACGUCAUGUUUUGAACUAAAUUAUAAAGGUGACAGAAUCUGUUAAAACUUAACGGAAAUGACUUAUUGGAAUCUAAAAAAAAUGUUUAUUGUGUACAAAGCCAUUAAAAAUUUAUUGUGCAUUCUAUAGUUAUAAAAAUUUUGAAGAGGGAAGAUUAUCAUAUUUAAGCUAAGUUCUUGGUAUAAUAUUGCAUGAUUGAAAUGCAAUGGCUCGAAUUAAAAGACACAAGGGUAAUUUAGGCAUACACUCUUACAUUCUAUUAUUGUCAAGACUCAUCAUACUUUUUAUACAGUAAUGAUGAUGAUAAUAUGAUAUUUAUGAUAAUCUUGAGCAUGAUUUCGACUUGUCAAAAGCUAAAGUUCUUUUUUAUCAUGUACAAAAGAUUUUUGUAAUCAUGGAUGCUUACAACCAUUCAAUUGAUAAAUUAUACUAGUAGCAGACAGAAGACGGGAGUACUUAUUUGACUGUUACAGUACAUAAACCGUAUUUCCCCAAGGAAAAAAAAAAACAAAACAAAAGAAUUCACGAAGAAAUCCUACUAUUCCAAAAGAACCUUCAUGCAUACAACUGUAUCAUUCCUGAAAGGACAAAACUGUGAAGAAGCUGGCUGACACAGCUUGUUCAUAACUUAGCGUGAAACAACUUACCAUCGUAGUAGAAUUGGUUCAUGAAUCAGCUUUAAGUAAUCAUAUAAGCUAUGUAGCCUAUAUUAAUAAGCAUUUAACCAUGAAAGGCCGUUCCCUGCUUCAGCCAGACCGAAAUGAGUCUCGUAAUGGUAAUGGCUUGGAUGUCGCCCCAGUCUAAAACAGUUUAUGAACUCAGGCCUCAGAAGCCUCUUGCUGAUGCUUCCGAUGUCUACGAUGAAAUCGCUUGUUGCCAUGAGCAUGUCUUUUGGAGACCGCUUUGGAUCUACCAGCAUUAGAUCUAUUAGUCUGCUGAAUCUCAUUUACCUCUGCCGGAAUCCCGAAAAUGCAAUCAAAUGGGUUCUCCACAGCAUCACCAGCAGCAUUCAUCUAAAAUCAUAAACAACCAAGAUCAAAGGAACCAAAAUCUACACAUAAAUUAACAGGCAAUUGAAAUAACAAGGAAGCAUUCUGUCCCAUUCUCAACACGAUAAAGUGCAGCACAGCCUAUUACCAAGUGAAUUAUCCAGUACUACUUUGGAUAUUAAGGUGGAAGAAGAAUUGUAGAAAUGGUGAUACAAUGCAGAAACUCAAAAAUUUUCCCAAGCAUAGAAAGUAUUAAGAGACCUGUAGCUAUUUCUGUAUUUUCCUCGAAGGAUUUCAAUUCUCAAAUUUCCUAGACUGAAAAUUAAAUUUAAACUUAAACUUACUUGAGCUUGGUUUGGUUCCGGAUCACUAUUCUUUGAAAUAGUCCUCUUUUGAUCAGAUUUCUCACUGUUCGAAGCAUGCUCAUCAGUCACCAGAGGAUAAGCUGCAUUUUCUCCAAAGGAGUUUCGGAAACGCCAUCUUAAUCUUGGUCGGUCUGAUGAAUCAUCAUAAACCUCUUCUGAGUAAAAAUGCUUGGAGAUACGUUGCAUUAUGGUUGGGUCAUCCUGAUACUUUUGCAACAUUCUGCCAUGAGGAAAAAAUUAAACCACAUAAGACAUUUCAAAAGCAGAUAUACAGUCAAAAGACUAGAACAGCUCACAUCAGAUAAAGACACCAACAGUAAAUCCAACACAUAAGUAGCAGAAUAAACCAGUUUCUGGAUUCACCUAAAUACAAAAGAAAACAAAAGAUCUACCAAUCAAUCUGUCAUCUGUUUGUGACCAUGAAAAGUAGCGGUAGCAUCAUAUAACAACUCUUGUUUUUCUUCUUAUGUCACAGGUCAUCAUAAUAGCAUGCAUUAAUGUAAUCAAUUUACUUGUGUUUUAUCUACUUUAACCUCUCGCAUCUAUCCUUUGUCUCCUAUCCCUGAAAAGUUAACGAACUUUUGCUCGAAAGGAGCAAUUAAUCAGCCAUCACAUGCAUGAGAAGUCUGUCACUUGAACGGCAUUGCCAAUCCAACCAUGGUCUAACUUCCUACUUGUGUGUACUCCUGUAUCCUUGUAGCACUUCUGAUGGAUUAAUCAGCGAAAAUAACAGUCACACAUGUUUGAAUCCUGCUCAUUAUUGUCUUAUCACGUUUGGACAACAGGUGAAGGAAUCUAACGGAACCGCAUAGUUUCUUUAUGGCAUUGCUUGACAUUAAGACUCCAGAAAUUCCUGAACUAACUAAACAAAAAUGUAAAUAUCACUAUCAUGAUUUUAGUUUAGGAGGACAAUGUAACUAGACAUUCAUGCACAAACUCACUUCAUUUAAUAUCAAAAAACUUUGCACUAGAUCAAAAGACUAGGAACCUACAGAACUCCCAAUUCUUUCUGCAUCCGAGUCCCAUCCAGAGAAAGAAUGUAGUUAAGAGACGAAUCUAGAGAUCUACCAAAAGUCCGCAUUCCAACAACAAAAGAACCUCCUGCAAAAUUCAGGGACAAUAUAUUCAACAUAUCCCAGAUAUCUCAAUCUCAGUAUUCCCAGAUGAUUUUAAGAAUUGCAGAUCUAUAGGUGCAAUCAGGAAAAGAUAAGUUUAAGACAUAUCUAUACAUCUGCCAAGGUACUUGCUUAUCGAAGUCUUCCAAGAUUAUAUCCCCUAGCUAAAACUAGUGUUGAAGAAUUCGUAGAUUCCAUAGGCAUAUAUGCAUUUCAAUGCAUCAACUUAUAAAUUUAGUGUUCACACUCGCACAGCAAACCCAACACCCACAGAGAGAGAGAGAGAGAGAGAGAGAGAGACCUGCUGUCAGGAAAACGCGGUGUACAUUAUGAAGCUUCAUACUGGCUGAAAGAAAGAAAGCAAAAUUCAAUCAAUUAACCAGUCUAUGGAACAGCGAGAUGACAAGGCACUAGUAAUAGUUUGAACAAUAACACAUGUAGAGAGAUUCACACAAGACACAAAAAAUACACGAUCUCUCAUGGGCUUAAGUCUAAAUUAUAUAGCUUUUAAGACAUUAAGGAACAUUAUUUUUGGAGAUCAAUUUGAAAUUAUUCAAUGGCAAGGGUAGUUACAAAGGAGUGCCAGCAGUUGAUACUGAUAUGCAAUUUUCCUACAGUAAGCAAACAUCUUAGAUUUUGAGAAGCAAUGCACCAUCAUCGACUUGGUAAUCCCACACUAUUUUUUUUAUUAUGUUCGAAAGUAAAUUCUCCACUUUUGAAGGAAAAGCAUCUAUAACAGCUUGCUGAUCCCAAUAACAUAAGACUUAUGUGGGCAUGAGAACUCUAUUCAAGAUCAACGCAACAAAACCACCAAGAAAGCUUAUAUGGUUAAAUUUAUGCAUGAGCAGACCAAAACAUCCACUUCCUACCCCAUCAUCCCAUCUUUAUGACUACCAUUCUUAAACAUCUUUAAGCUUCAAUGGUCCUAACUAAUGAAAUUAGCCCUCUAAUUAUAGACUGAAAAAUCAAUACAUCAUACCCCCCACCCCCACCCCAAAAAAAAAACUACAUGACAUUGAACAAAUGACCAUAACUGCAACAGUGGAAACUUUAGUCCAGUCCUUCCCCUUUCACAUAGGACAAAAUACAAAUCCAUUUAUAUAGUCUCGUUGUACAAGAAUAAACCUGGUAAGAUGGGUACUAAUUCUUGAAAAAAAAUUGAUCUUUAUAGUUCAUCGCACAAGAAAUACGGGAAACCCCCAGAAAAAUUUAAAUAAAAGCCCAAUAUACAUAUAAGAAGUUCAAUUCAAAAAAUGGAAAAGAAGAUUGGAAUAGGAUAACCAAAAUUCCUACCAAACCAACUCACAGCAGCAGCACCAGUAGCACCAAGAGUGAACGCUCUGAGAGCGUUUGACUUGCAUUGCAUCAGUAUAUUUGCUUCUUGACUAGUGAUUUUCUCCUGCCAAUUGAACCAUAUCCCAAUUUUAAAAACAUAAGUUUAGUUUAAACCCAUCUUUUCAUUAAAAAGGGUCUCAAGGAAAUCAUGCGUAUAACAAAUUAAUAACCCAUCAUUGGAAUUCACUAAAUAAACAACAUAAGGAAAAAUCACAUCUUUCUUGCUGUAAUUUCGUAAGACUGAUUCUGCAAUCGAAAUGCAAAUAGUCUAUACCAGUAUUACCUUUCUGAGAACGUUUUCAAGUUCGAAAAGUGCUUCUCCCAUCUUGACGUUUCCGAUGUUCCCACGGAAAGCUUUGAGAGUCGAAUGGGCAAUUCAAGGAAUCACAUUUCUGGGUUUAGUAUUUCUCGCGCUCUAUAUAUUUUUGUGAUUUUUUCCUUUUGAGUAAAUUUUUAUAGCAGUUAAGGACAAGGGAAAAUUGCACACAACGUCCUUCACAUUUCAUUAAAAAUAAUUUACAUACCUCAUAUUUAAAAUAUUAAUUUUACGUGUGAUUACAUUAGUAAGUCAGCCUAAUAUAGUUUAGACCUGUAUUAUUUUUGGUGUGAAAUCACGCGUGACCUAUGCUUUAUCAAUUUUAGACAUGCCAAAAUGUCAAAUUAUGGAACCUAACUAAAGCUCGAGAAAAGAAAAACAAGAUGGGGUAAAUCGAAAUAUUUCAAAUGACUUCUAUGUUAUUUUCCAUCAUUCCAUUAUUUUGAAGAAAAAUAUAAACAAAUCCAUAGGCGAUUGGAUAAGAAACUAUUUAGAAUAAUACCGUAACACUUUUUUUUUUUUCCUGAUUUGGUGUGUGUGAGAUAAAAAAGAUGGUUAAAAAUAGGAUUAAUGGCAAAAUGCACCCUCAACUAUCUUUGGAUUGCAAUUUGCACCUUAAAAUAUAAAUUAUAGCAUUAUAAUCUCUUAAUCUAUUAAUCUUUUGUACUUCACCUCAAUUAAUUAGAAAUCAGCCAAGAAAAAAAAUUCUCAUGGCAUUUUUGCCCCAAUAUGAGUAAAUCAAAAACCUUAAAUCAUCCAUCUAUUCUUCUCCCAUUCUUUCCCCUCUCUUCUCUCAGCAACAACUCCAAUCCGUUUUAAUUCCCUAUUCCUAGCUCUCUCACUCUUGCUUAAUACACAAAAAAGUCAUGAGCGUUUUUCAAACUCCCUCACUUGCUGAUUUUUUUUUUUGUUCUCAAGCUGUAUUUUCCUUGUUCUUGCUAAACCAAUGAAUCAAUCAAAAUUUCUCUAUAACCAAUCACCACCGUUUUUCUUAUUCUUGUGUUCUUGGGGUUUAUCACUCUGGCUUGUUUUGGAUUCUCUAAUUGGUUAGUUUGCAAUGACUUUUGUUGGUGUAUGAUCAUGUUGAGGGUUAGUUGUAUUCUAUGAUUGUUGAUAAGGAAUCUAAGCUGGAAUUGUGAUGGAUAUUAGUUUUGAAAUGGUGUAAAAAAAAAAAAAAAAGAGAUGAAAAUAAUGCAUAGAUGAAUGUGCUAAAAAUGCAUAGAUGAAUGUAGUUUAAUGCAAUAAUUUAAAGUUUGGGGUGGAAGUUACAAACCGGUAACAGAGAUUGCAUUUUGCAAUUAAUCAUUAGAAAUAUUAAAAAGUGGUUGAAAAAAUAUGUUGAUAAUGCAAGCAAGAUAAUAUUUGAAAAAAAAAAAAUGGUGUUACCAAACACACUGAUUACUGAACUGCGUAUUCUUCAAUGGGAGAGAAGAAAUUACCUUUUUGUGGAUUAAUUAAUAUUCACUUCACCUUAUUAGGCACAAACCAUACGAACCUUUAAUGCAAAAUUUCUUGCCCAUUAAUUUCAUUCAGUUGUAUAAGCGAUAAUUGAUGUCUCAUCCAUGUGAUUUUUCCUCCUUGUUCAUUUUUUCAUGUAGACCAAAAAAAAAAAAAAAAUCAAUAACACUUUACAUACAAAGUUUUGUAUAAAGAAAAAAGAGUGUAGCUAGAAAAUCAUAGUAAUAUUUGUGGAAUGUAGCUAGAAAAUCAUAGCAAUAUUUGUGGGUUUGCUCAUUCCUUCCUAAGUCUUUGGAGAUAAACUCCUUCGUAACAAUACUGCACACGGCGCUCGGAACUGCAUUAGAGAACAACGGAGACUGAGUAGUAAAAUGCACUAAAACAAAAGAAUCAAUCCAACUACUGUUUUUAAGAAACAGUAUCAUGCCAAAACCUGCAUCCAAAUCUGAAUUAAACAAGAAUUUUAGAAACUUCCCAGUUUUGCGAAUUGCUGUGGCCAAGACCCUCUAACCUUCUCUACUUCUUUCCAUACAGCAACGGCGUUUUGUCAUCAACCAGCAUAUACUGUCUUCCCACGCUUAGUUUGAAAAUCGUCCGUCCAAGGUAAGAUUUUCAGAAUGUUGAAGCAUGCUCCAGAUUUCUUCAACAACUGACUUUGUGUCUGCUACCAAAUCAGUGAUCUUAUUCUGCAAAUCAUAGGAAAUUGAAGAACCAAAAAAAGAAGGAAAAAAAAAAAGAGCAAAGCACAAAAUUUGGAUUUUGUUUAAGUGUAAGUGGAAGGUCUUGAAUCGUUUCACUCUCUCGUUCAAUUCAACCCAUCCCUCCUCCCACACAUAAUUUGAGUAUGAGUUACACUAAAUCAACAAAUUCAGAGGUUUAAAAAGAACCCAUAUUUUAUUUAGCUUAGAUUUUAGUUGUAUAUUGAAAAAAUAUUAUUCAUUGCAAUUCCAAAACUAAUUGAAUUUCCUUAAUAGCGGUGUAUUAAAAUUGAAAUUGACAAUCAGAUACACGAGGUUAUGACAGCUGAUAAAAAUGAUAAGCAAGCGCUGUUAUUUAAGUGGUAAAUUGGUAACGCUGAAGAAGGUAGCUAAUGCUCCAAAAGCCAGAUGUGUUUUGAUUGAUGCAGAUCAAGACGAGGAAAAGAAAAGGAGAUUUGUCUGGCUCUGGAACUGUGAGAAGUUAGCACUUUAUUAUGCGCUGAUUAGAGAGGAAAAGAGAUCAUUCACUCCAAUCAUUAAGAACCUUAGGAUCUGUGAGGAUUGCCAGAACUUCAUUCUUUGAGAGAGAAAUCAUUCUUAGAGAUAGGACUAGAUUUCUGCAUUAUAGAGACGGCUCCUGUUCUUGUAAAGAUUUCUGGUGAUUAUACGAACUUUUUACUUGUCUACAAAAUUUUCUGAAGUAUAUUCACAUCCACCUCUCAACUGCCCCCAGCUUUUUAACGUACAAGGACUAGUUUCUACCCGUGCAUCUUCAUGCACAUCGAUGUUGAUAGAACAAAACAAAUCCACUUUCUAAUUGAUCAUGCUUCAUUUAGGACAGAAGAGACAAUCAACCCAAAGCUUCUCACAAGUAAUGAGAAGUUUCUCUUCUCAUAAGUAGCUAAAACACCGAAUUAAAAACCGUCUAUGUCGGGAUUUUGAGGUUCUGUCCUGUUGAACCGCUGUACUGUUUGCCAAAUGCAAAUAUCAGCCAAAACUCCUGCUGCACAUUUUUCAGUUCUCUGAUCAGUCUGAAUUUCAGAAAGUGCAGUGCUGCUGAAAUCAAUCUCGAGUUCUCAAUUACAGGCCUUUGUUGAUACUCGAGAAUCCAUGUAUUUGGAUCCAAUUGAACAGCAGAAGCACUCCAUUUUCCUUGUACCCAUGAAGUAUUACUGUUUCGAAUCAAAUACCCCACCUCCCCAUUUGUCCACUGUAAAAGAGAGAAAAGUCAAGGAAAGAAAAAGGCAUAUUUCUUUCUGAAACGUUUUUCAGUGACACGGGAUCUUGUAGCAUCACAAUGAUUCAGAAAGAUUAUGACAGACAACAGAAGAGAACGAAAGACAAAUGGUUGAUUUAGCUACUUAUGCUUUUGGCUGGAUUCUCUAGUCGGUUCAAGGAAAAAGGGGGGAAAAUCAGAAGUAGGUUACCUCAGUGACUCUUCCUGAUAAGAUUGUGAAUGACCGUGAAGAAAAUUCUGCUGUGAGCAAUCCAGCUGUCUGCAAAGGCCAACCCCAGAUGCUCACCUCUUCUGUCAGGGAUUUGUACAGCACAUUUCGGGAAUUCAAAAUAAACCCAUCCUAGGCGUUUGUCAUACGGGACAGAAGAUUCAAUAAUCAACUAACUAAUUAUGAAUGAAUCCCAGAAUUGUUCAUAAGCAUGUAAAUAAAAAAUAAUAAUUUUUAAGCGAACCCUAAGAACAAUGAACACUGGCCAAUAAUUAAAAUCCGAGAAAAUUUUACCUGAUUGAUUUUCCAGGGAGAACCAACAUAGCUAUAAUGUGAGAUCUGCUUACCAACCAAACCCCAUAAAUCUUUCUUCAAGAACGAUAACCUUUCAUUCAAGUCCUUAGAUACAAGUGAUUUCUCGCCCAAAAUCCUCACUUUUUCCCGUGAUAAUUCAGGCCUAAGUAUCCCAGAAACCACCCAAGAGAAUCCAAAUUCCGCAGCCAAAAUCAAGCUCAGACCCCACAGCAAUCUAAUCACAGAGACCCCAAAUCUGAAAUGUUUCUCCUUUCUCUUCAACUUGUCAUGAAAGCAGAUUCUUGCAGUGGAAUUCAGGGGCGGUGACAUCUUAACAGUUUCGGUCCUUGAUUUAGGGGUUGAAAGAGUUGAAGUGUUGAAUGAGAUGGGACUUCUUCGAAGAGUAGGCUUCGAAAUUGAACGCUUAGUCAUAGAGCCUCUGUAAUUGCUUUGGGGCAUAAGAUCAAGGGUGGCAUUCAUGCUUUCUAUGCACAUUUCGCAGUUGCAGUUGGCAUCUUUUCGACAUCCCGGAAAAUAAUAGCUAUCCCUUGAUUCAGAUUCCAUGCUUGUGCCGGAGCUGGUUGCCGUUGUGGAUGAUUUUGUAGAAGAAUUUGGGGUUAACGGUACUGAUUUCAUGGUUUCUUGAUUCUAAGUUUCGGGGGUCGGUCUUGUUUUCUUUGGGGAGUUGGGGUGUUUUCUUGGAGCUGGUGAAGAUGAAGCUUUGGAAGGUUUAAAAUUUGAAUUCUAACGGUCAUGAGAAUGGGUCCAAUGAUUAAUGGGCCUUUCGUUUCUUUUUUUUUUUUUUGUUAUGCGACCUUUGCCUACUAUUAUUAUUUGGUGCAACUCACGAUGUGGGUUACGGGCCUUCAGGCUCUGAUAAAGUAGCCUAAUGACGCUUAAAAUUCCAAUAAUUCCUAGUAAAAUCAUAAAAUGUAUUCCUAAAUACUUGUAUAUCUCGUGAGAGAGAUAAAUUACUUAAUCUUGAAAAUUUAAUUUUACUAUGCAAAUUUCCUAUCUAUAGUAGACUUUUUGCUCCUAAUAUUGGAGAUUAAAGGAGCAUGAUGUAUUUGCUCUGGAAAAUCCAUUUAAUUAGUGAGUUACAAUAAAUUAGUUGCACGUAAUUCUCCAAAGCCCCCGGCUCUAUGAACUUGUUUGUCAAAGCAGUAAUUGCUCUCUUUUGAAAAUCAAAAGACGAACUAAUGUGGUUUUGUCGAAGGCUUCUUAAUGUCUUUUCGAUGUACGAGGUCGAAAGUGCAUAUAUAGAGAGCUCGUAAAAGUAAUGUUCACGUUGAAUUAAAAACAGAAAUGAAAAUCAAUAAUGGCAUGGCCCGAUAUUAAAGACGGGCACCCACGAUCUUUGUGAACGCGUUCUUCAAUCUCGACAGAAAUGAAAAUCAAUAAUGGGAUGGCCGAUAGUAAAAAGGAUCUUUGUGGACGUGUUCUUCAAUCUCGACAGAAAUGAAAAUCAACAAUGGAUGGCCGAUUUUAAAGAGGGCCACCGACGAUCUUUGUGGACAUGUUCUCCAAUCUUGCUUGCUAAUCUUAAAGCAAAGAAGUAAUCUACUUACCUGCCAUAUCCUGUUUUUUCCUUUCUCGUUUAUACCGAACAUCGUGAAUGAUAACCAUGUGGCAUCCUUCCGUGUCUACCCUAUUUUUCAAUCCAAGCGAUUUAGUCUUUCUUGAUCAAGAAUUUGUCGAGCUAACGUGGAAGAAAAUCCCCGCAUCGUUAGAUGAUCUAUUAAAUAGAUAAGGGCCUAAUUCAACCAGAACCAAAUUAGAUAGAUAAGAUUGUUCCCCGGUGUCAGGGGCAAAAGGACAGUUUGGAAAAAUCUUUGCUAAAUUUAACAUGCUAUAUCACUAUCGUCUUCUAUAUAUGAUUGCAUUAAUUAACCUGCAAAUUUGGUAAUGCCCCUCUGGUUCUCAUCUUAUUUUGGUGUUCUUGCUAAGGACAAGACUAGACGUAGUCAAGAAAAAAAUUAAUGCGUAACUGGAACUAGCUAUAAGUUUGCCAGCAUUAAGAUGGUUCCAUGUCACCUUCAACCUAUGUUACUACUUAUUAAACAUCUGGACCUAAUUAUCAAAUAACAUGUCUCUUUGUUUCUCUAGGAAUUCUGGUGUUAGAGGUUUGAAUGUCCACUUGCUAACUUCUGUUCACUCGACAUGUGUAAUUCUGUACCCAAAAAGUAAUUGCUUUGUCUGCUAUAAGUUUUGCAAAAUUUUGGCAUGUAUCAUCAUUUUUUUCACUCAAAUGAUUUUUUAAGAUGCAUCAAUAAGCAGUUUUAUGAAGUAAAUUUUUUUUUAAUUUAAAUCUUUUGAUACUGUAUACUUUAACGGAUGUGGAUACAUGUCACCUAAUUUCAAUUUAAAUUUACAUUUCGAUUCUUGUACAUGUGACAUAUCAUGUCUGCUAGUGCAUACAAUGUUAGUAUAUGCAAAAUUAAAAUUCUUUCAUUAUUAGUCAUGAUUCUAAAAUACUACCUCCAUUCCUCAUAACAGGACUUUUAUCUAAAACUAAUUUGGACCAUUCUUUUGGAAGUUGCACAUAGUAUCCUGAUAUAUUUCUUUCUCUUUAUUGUUAGUCUCAAGAUGAAGAAAGUAGUACUUACCCGAUUCGAUUGAUACAAUUAUAAAACGUAUCAGGGACAUAAAACGUAUAUUUGUUGGGACCAUGAAUAAGCCUCUCCGUACUUCAGAAGUGACAGUGGCCACAUCUAUUAGCAAGCAAAAACAGGCAAAAGCAAAGAAGUUCAAAUGUUUAUCUUUGAUGUGACAUAUUGCAACUGGUUUUGAUCGGAUCCUAGCAUAAAUGGUGUCGAAAGCCCUAUUUGUAUGGUAAGUUUUUGAUGCGAAACUCUCUUAUAAUGAUAUACUUAUAAGAUAAGAAGGUGAUUAAAAAUUUUAUUAAAAAUUUUUUUUUUUGAAAGGAAAGCUAUCAAUCAAACAAGGUUUAAAGGAUGAGCCAGGUGACAAAAACUUCAAAUUCUUGAUUGACUUAAUCUCAAGCAACCCAUUGACCUCCGGAAUUUCUUAAGCUUCACAAAAUCAUAAAAGCUCGUCACAAGUGCCCAAAUGGUGCAACAAAUCUUACAUGAAGUACUGGUAUAUAUCUUUCUUGGGUUUCUCGCCAAUAUUAGUUAAUAUGAAUACUAAUAGUACUGAGUCUAUAAUUGAAGCCGAAAGAUUGGGGUCACUUUUUGUCCAGUUUAUUUUAAUGAAACGCAGCAGGGUAAUUUUUUGCCUCCAUCUGUUUCAUUUCCUUUCACAUUUUGGUUUUGCUUUAACUUUUUUUUUUUUAAAAUUAAAUUUUGGGAUACUUGAUGGAUAGAAGUUUGAAAUCAAGAUCCCCGAAAUCCUCUACAAAAGAGCAAGGAUUCCAGUUAAGUUUUAACGCUUUUUCAACCUUUUUUGGAACGUGAAUUUUCAUAGAAAAUUUUUUUUCAAUUACCUUUUCGCUUCACAUAUAUCAGAUAUCGACAUAAUAUAAUUUUUUAUAAAAACUCUAAAAACUUGUAAUCCAAACGGAGCUCCCUAGCCCAAAAUGUACAAGUUGUGGAUUAGUUGGUCCUCCACUUGAUGUGUAAGAUUAUUUAUUAGCCAAGUUGGUGAACUAAUUCGCUAAAAUGAAUGCAGUAAGUGCAGUUGAAUUGGUGAGUCAUCUGUAAUGAAAUGACAGAAUUAAUAGGCCAAUUGGGCUAAAUUAUUGUCCAUCCAAUAAUUGUCAUUUAGCUCAUAAGUGAAGCAUUAAUAUAUGUUAGCAACUUGGACAACAUCGAUACAGAAUCACAAAUACACUGUUUACUACAGAAUUUUUCUUCAAAAGAAUACUCAACUUUUCGUACAACCACUAUUUACAGUGGGGAAUGACUUUGAGUUAACAAGAAGUAUAAUUGAGGCAUCUGGAGCAAUAAUAAUCAAAAAAGUCCUUUUAGGCUAAGUGGGGAAUUGACCUGCAAUGUUGUUGUCUUUUAAUAAACAUUUCUAACGUUAAGUUUUUGCAGGUUCUUUUGGUCUCUUUACUAUCAAAAAAAUAAAAAUAAUGAAAGAAUGCUGUUCCAAAGAAAAGAACGAAUGAUCUUUCGGAAACGUGCCAUUUCACCUUUUGGAACAAGCCCUUCUGCUUCUGUUGCUUUGCUAUAAUAUUACUACACACUCAUUAUCUCCUCUUCUAAGUAUUCCGCUGAAAAUCAUCAAGAAAAUGUGAACAGAACUCAACAAGGUCAAUGGUAAUUUGCACUUUUCCAUCAAAAGUAUCCACCUAUGAUAAGCUAUGAGAAAUUUAAAAGUUCUACGUAGCAUUUAUUAUCUUGAUCAAGAGGGAAGAUGAAGAAAAUCAUAUUCAUGUUCAAAGAUCAGUUUUGCUGCUGCCUUGAUGAUCAGAAUCGCAUUGGUUCGAAUGGAAUGCAGUACUUCUGAGCCCAAUUAUCGUGGAGAACCAUGUGCAGCCUAAAUGGAGAACUGAAGCUAGAAUUUGCUCGCAUGGUAGAUGUUCUUUACCGUAUUUUUAAGACAAAAAGAAAUGGACAUUCUUGUAAAGGAAAAUAGAAAAGAACUAAAAAGCCUGCAUUGAAAUUGAUAACAUCCUCUGUACAAAACAAGUAGCGUAACUAGGAAUUGGCCAUAAAAAGGUUUUUAUCCCUUGUUCCAACAGAAGUUGGGGCCAAUUUUUCUUUUAAUCUAAGCAGCUAGUAACAAGAGAAAGAUGAAUCAUCUCCCACUUGGGACGUACUUGAUGAUCUCGAGUACUUCUUAGAAGAAGAAGACGAUGAUGAUGAUGAUAAAUCACCUGAUCUUCUCCUUAGCAUCUGCCUCAUCCCAUCAGCAACUCUGAUUGCAGGAUUGGAUUUGUACUUCCUACAAAAGGCCAUAUGAGCCUUCACAGCUUCAUCCAUUCCAGAUUGCUUCUUCCCUCUGUUAACUUCAUCUCUCACAGCUUCUGAGCACAGCCCACAUAGCCAUUUACCAUCAAAAUUUGCCUUCACCUCACUAAUGUAAUCUUGAGUGCAAUCUUCCUUCAGUCCACAACAAUCACACUUCACCAAUUCGAUCUCCAUUUUUUUCUCUCUCUUUUGUUGAUGAAAACCUUCCGUAUUCCAAAAAGCGAUCAAAGAAAUAUCAACAGAUAGGACCCCCUUUUACUUACUUUUGCAAAGAAUCUAAUGUUUUUUCAAUCAUUUGCAAGGAAACUUUCCUUCUUGGCUAAACAUCUUCAAUUGAAACUUAUGGACUUUUUUGAUGCUGCCUUGUGAACUAUAUAGCGGUACAAGUAUGUGUUGGUUUGGUGCAAAAGAGGCUUUAUGAGGUUUGGCAUAUAUAAAAGAAAAGAAACGAGGGAGGUAGAGAUCGGCAGGGGGAGGAGGCAGGAGGGAAAAGAGGGGCAACUUAUAGUAGGCAAGGCUGCCAUAAUUUCCUCCAUGUUCUAAGGGACAUGGGGCAGUGGAAAAUGAGACAAAUGUGGUCGGGGGACCCCAAUCGAUGGCCCCCUUUGAACGUUAAAGAAUCAAUUGAGGGGGUUUAAUCCAAUCUAACGUAGCCCAUGCUUGCUUUCACUAAAGAAGCAUUUUGUUGGCUUUUUGGACCUAAAGGGGUAGUUUUUUCUUUGGGUGAUUGACGGUUACUUUCGGUUGACAUAGUUGAAUCGCUUCAUCUGGCCUCAGCGUUUGGCUUUUUCUGGCUUCCUUUUGAUUUUUCUCGAGCUUUAUGGCCUUUGUAUCCAUGUUGGGAUAGGCCAUUCUCAUCUUGAACCCAUGCAUUUGUUGACCCGUUCGUAUGCACUAUUUACUCAAUAAUAAAAUAUAUGAACAAUAUGCCACUUGAGUUGAAAAACUUGUUUGAAAGAUUUGAUUCGACAUCUCUAGCAGGAUGGAGGUUGCAGCGUUUAUCCACCUCUGAAUUAUUGAUCAAUAUGUUCUUGCAUGGCCAAACUUAGAUAAAUUUUUAACUAAUUUGAGAUCGAUCAGUUGGCCAUAGAGCCAAACCAUCUUUCAUCAAUUAUUUGGUAAACCCGCUUCGCCUUCCAGAGCAUGUACCGGAAAGAAAACUGAAACUAUGUGCUCCAAACUGUUCUACUGCUACUUACUACUACUAGGCCAAAAAUGUGUAGUUAUGUUAAUGUUGGAUAUUCUAAAUCUAAUAUAGGAAAUCAAAACAAGAGUGUUCUUCUUUUUUUUUUACUUAUGUUUCUGAUUCUUAAUUAAAUUUUUAAUUACGAAGUCUCUAUCCAAAAAAAAAAAAAAAAAAAGAGAGAGAUUGAAUUCUUCAAGUCAGGGAGUUCUAUUCAAGUGCUGCAUAAUUCGGUAUUAAUAUCCACUUCUUCUAAGCAAGCAGCGAAAAAAGAAUCAAUGGAAACUCGAGGGCAUGGAGCAAAACAAAAAAUUUCCUUUCCUUUAUAUUGCACAUUUCUUACUUUUCGUUACGCUAAGAUAGUUUAUAAGCCUAAGGCUCCGUUUGGAUUACCUGUUUUUGGGGUUGUUUUUUAAAAACAGCACUGUAGCAUUUAGUUUUUGAAAUACAAGUCCGUUUGGAUUAGUUGUUUUUGAGAUUGUUUUUCAAAAACUAUAUGAAAAACUUUUACUGUAGAUGUUUUUUGGAUUAUUUUUAGAGAUAUUUUUAAAACAUAUUAUGGGUAUUUUUAUAAUUUAUAAUUUAUAUAAUUUUAUUUUUACAUACAUUUAUGCAUUUAUAAUACAUUUAUAAAUAUUUAUAAAUAAAUAUAUUUAUAUAUUCGCUAAAAAAUAUAUAAAUGUAUUAUAUUAUAUAUAAUACAUAAUAUAAAUAUAUUUAUAAAUGUAUAAAUUAUAAAUGAAUAUUAUAUAAAUGUAUAAAUUAUAAGUUAUAAUUUUUAUAUUUUUAUAUAAAUAUACAUUUAUGCAUUUAUAAAUAAAUAUAUUUAUAUAAAAAUAUAAAAAUAUAUGAUAAAUUUAUUGUAUUAUAUAUAAUACAUAAUAUAAAUAUAUUUAUAAAUGUAUAAGUGUAUAUUAUUGUAAAUUUAUAAAUUAUAAAUGAAUAUUAUAUAAAUGUAUAAAUGUAUAAAUUAUAAUUUUUAUAUUUUUAUAUUUUUACAUAAAUAUACAUUUAUGCAUUUAUAAUACAUUUAUAAAUACUUAUAAAUAAAUAUAUUUAUUUAUUUAUAUAUAAAUAUAUAAAUGUAUUAUAAAUGUAUUAUAUUACAUAUAACACAUAAUAUAAAUAUAUUUAUAAAUGUAUAAGUGUAUAUUAUUGUAAAUUUAUAAAUUAUAAAUGAAUAUUACAUAAAUGUAUAAAUUAUAAAUUAUAAAUUAUAUAUUUUUAUAUAAAUAUAGAUUUAUAAAUAUUUAUAAAAAAAUAUAUUUAUGUAUUAUAUUACAUAUAAUACAUAUUAUAAAUAUAUUUAUAAAUGUAAAAGUGUAUAUUAUUAUAAAUGUAUAAAUUACAAAUGAAUAUUAUAUAAAUGUAUAAAUUAUAAUUUUAUUAAUAUAUAUUAAUAUUAUUUAUAAAUGUAUUAAUAUAAUUAAUAUAAAUGUACAAAUGUAUUAAUAUUAUGUAUAUAUGUAAAAUUAAUAUUAUGUAUGUUAAUGUACAUUUAUAUAAAUGUAAAAUAUAUAUUAUAUAUUAUAUAUUAUAUAUAAUAUAUAAUAUUCAUAUAAAUAUAUUAUAAAUAUGUAAAAAUAUUUUUUAAGUAAAAUAAAAUAUUUAUAAUAUGUAAAAAUAAAUAUAUAAAUAUAUAAAUAUUUAAUAUAUAUAUAUAAUAUACAUUAAUAUUAAUUAUAAAUAUUAUAAUAUUAUAAAUAUGGUGUUUAUAUAAUAUUUCAAUUUGUAAUAUUUAUUGUAUAUUUCAUUAUAUAAAUAUUCAUAUAAUAUAUAAUAUAUAAAUAUAUAAAUAUAUAAUUUUCAAUUUGUAUAAUAUACAUAAUAUUGUAUGUAUAUAAUAUAAUAUAUUAUGCAUAAUAUACAUUAUUACAUUAUUACAUAUUAUGUUUAUUAUAUAUUAUACCUAACAUUAUUAGACAUUAUUAUACACAAUAAUGUACAUAAUAAUAUUAUACAUUAAUAAUGUAUAUAUUAUAAUAUAAUGUACAUAAUAUAUAAUGUAUAAAUAUUUACACAUUUAUGUAUACAAUAUUACAUAUUAUGUUUAUUAUAUUAUGUAUAUUACAAUAUAUUAUGUAUAAUAUUAAUGUAUAAAAAUAUUUAUAUAAUAUAUGAUAUAUAUAAUUUUCAAUUUGUAUAUUUCAAUUUAUAUUAAUAUAAUAUAUAUAUAUAUAAUAUACAUAAUUGAAAUAUACAUAUGUAGUUGUUUUUGAUAUAAUGUUUGGAUAUGGUGUUUUUGGAGUUGUUUUAGAAAUACACAUUUACUGUAGCAUUUGGGAUGUGAAAAACAGUUUUUCAAAAACAGCUCCAAAAACAAUGAUCCAAACACACCCUAAAGUCUUUAUUUCAGUUAUUGACUAUUGAAUCCCUUCAUUCAAUCAAACACCAGCAUCACCAUCACAAAAAUUCAACACCUUCAUCGUAUCGUUAUUUGAAUCUUUUGACAUUCACAUGUUUAUUAUCUUUAGCCAAUACUAGGGGAGUGCCCGCGCAUCGCGCGGGUGUUUGGUGCCUGUGGUUAAAGAAGCGUUUUCAUUGAACUAAAAAUAGUACAUUGUGCGACGUAAUUAGAGGCAGGUACAAUUACGAGACAAACAACAUAAGAGCCACCCAAUAUUAGAAUCAGCAAGUUCCCAAAGACAAAUAAGUAGAUGCAACAAAUUCCCAAAAAUGUACGGACAAAUAGGUUUCCCAUGAUCCAGAUAGAUAAUAGAGUAGUUCAAAAGGACAUUAUGUAUGUCCAGUUAUUUAGUGAUAAUAAUAGUAGUAAAAUCUUUUAGAUGCUGUAAUAGGCAGCAUUCAGAUACGUUGCUUCUUGGUGGUUUCUUCAUUUUGUUUUGCAAGGGUUGUACCACUGGUUCCUUCACUGGACUUUGUAGAUGGUGAGGGUGCCAAAGUGGUCGAGCUGUCUCUUUUCUUUGUCUCCACUGCUUGUAUUGCAACAUCCAUUUGUGUUCUUUUAGAGUUGAGGUCUGAGUUGUCGGCUACUUCAGUUGCGCUUAUUGCACUUCCAGUAUUCUAGGAUGCAGACGUUGUUCCUAAAUGACAAAUAUUAGAAAAUCACACAAAUGACUUGAUACCCAAAAAGCUAACUUUAUUCCAAAAACCCCACCGAGAGCUUUUUCUUGCUGUUAUCCCGAACCUAUAACAUUAUAAGCAAACCAGUCAAAUUACAGAGGCCUUCUAAAUUUGUGAAAAAAUUUGUAUGUUGCAGCUAAAUUACAAGGGCUAAGUGUCAAAUUUUAGAAAUUAAGCACACAUCGACGCCACACACGGCCCAAAUCACCCACAUGAACGACAAAAUUGCGGGAAAAAUCUUACCUCAAGCUGAAUCACCAGGAGUAGCUGCGGCUAAAGAACAUUCUGAGAUGCUCGGUAGAAAGGCAUAAAAAAUAGCCCAAAUCCCAGAAUAUUAAAAGGGUGAAACCGAAGAAGACGAAAGAGGAGGCAUUGAAAUAAGCAUAAUCAAUGCGCAGCCGUUUGGGCAUUAGCAUACAAACGCUUGGCUAUUUAAUUGAGGCUAUAAUGUCGAAGAAAUGGGGUCUUUCAGACAUCAACUCGGAUGAGAGGGGAAAGGAAGAGGCAUGGAAAAUCCCAAUCCCCGAAGCUGAAAGGGGGGAAACAGAUCCAAUCCCAAAGGCCAAACAUGGAGUCAUUAAUAAACCCAUGUUUAUGGCCGUUAAAUUCAGGCAUAAAUGACAGCAAAAUAGUGGAGUUCACACCUGAGAGAAGAUGAAAAGACAAGCUGAGAAUCAGGACGGUAAAGCUAACAAUAUCAUGAGACAACAUCCAAAGAAUACAAAAACUAAUACCCAGAUGCAAACAUGAAGCUAUCUGGAAAGCUCAUGAAACAUUAGGCAACAGUGGCCAAGAACAGCGGGAAAAAAGGCUGUUCAAGUUACAGACACAAACGAUUGUCUGUGAGAGCGGCCAAGACUCAUUUUAGAAAAUUUCAGCCAAAGCGCGAGUCCCAAACGGCUGUCUGCGGUUCAAGAGCUGAACGUGUGCUGUGUAAAGGCCAUUUCAGUAAUUACACAAACCCACAUGCUUAUAUGAGUUGUACCAAAAGCAACAAAUGGUUCUAGAUUAAUUGCACAUACCAUAAAUACCCAAACACGCAACCACAUUUAAAGUUUUAAAUGUCUAUAAAGGAGGCCAUUUCGGUUAAUAUACCCAAUCACAGGCUUUCCUGACUUGUACCUUCAGGUUGCAAAACACUUCAUAAUAUAAGGAAUUCCCAAAAAGUCCCUACCUAUGCAGUUGAAAUUCAACCUCCUUUUUGACAAAACUCAAUCUUAUAUAAUAUAAGGAUAUAUGCUUUUUCUUUUUCAUUCCCUCUUUGUGAUAAACUUUCUUUCUUUCUUUUCUUUUUCCCUUUUUGGUGAUCGAUCAUACUUCAAUUUUUUCUAUGUUUUUAUUUAUACACAAAAGCUAGGUUUCAUUCUUCUUCUUUUUUAAGUAGAAAACUUUAAAUCCAAGAUUUUUUAUUUGCAAUCCCUUUCACCUUGCCUUCCAAUGUACCAACCCUCCCCCGGUUUCAAUAGACAUCAAAGCCUCAAUUGGUGCAUCUGUUCCCUAUAUCUUGCGUAAUGUUGAUCAUAUCUUUCUCACCGGAAAAAUUGACAACCUUCAAUUAUUAAAGCAUGAUACUCUAGAUUUUCCACAUUUCAGCACUGUGGUUGGUCUACGCUAUUAUUAUUUUUUUCCCAUGACGAAGGUUGCUUUCUUUUGGGGCAGUCUUUCAUCAAGUUGAUCUGCCAUGAUGGUUUUUGAUAUGGGCAAUUAUUGGGUGGUCUAAUUUGACUAGUUCUCGCCAAAAUUGAUGAAAUUUUCUACUUAAAGAACCAUAUAAGAAUUUCGUUACUUCAGCUGGUCAAAAAUAGUUGAAAACUUGGCUGUCAUUAUCUGAGAUUAAGCAAUAAGGACCUUUCAGUCACUUUUAUACAAUUAAUAUUGUCCUAAAAUAUAUACUAUACUACCCCUUUCCGAGAGAAAUUAAUUGCCAGAUUUUCAACAUAUUUCCUACGGUUUGUUAAUGAAUUUAAUCGUUGUGCAUUAUGUGUUGCAAAGUUAAUAUGCCUAUUUGGUGUAAUGUAAUGAUAAAGGAACCAAGAAAAGGAAAUUUGAUUUGACUUGAAAAAUAAAAAACGUGACAGUAUGUCCAUCAUAGCAUAAUCAACAAAAGAGAUUUCUAAAGCCAGCAUUAAUUGUACAUAUUAUGUUAAAAAAAAAAAACACUGUGCUUUUGUCGCGGUUAAUUGGUAGUUGAUAGUAAAUUAAAGAAGCCUCCACCUUUGUUACUUGCAGUAAUGUGGAACAAGAUGCAAGUGGGAUUAAGGUAAUUUUAUAAUGGAAUUAUUACCAUGUCAAACAUCAAAAGCAUGUAGUUAUGGUGAAUUGACACACACAUUGUAGACAAAAUACAUUUAUUAUUACUUAAACAAUUUCCCCAAUAGCUUUUUGGCUUAAUGAAUUCGGAUAUACAUCCAAUAUGUGGGACUCUGAGGAUGGCAAUGGGGGCGGGGCCGGGGGGAAUUUUUUCCCCCCGUUUAGAAAUGGGGCGGGGGGCGGGGGUAUACAUCCCCCGCCCCGCCACCCAUAAAAAAAAAGUAUAUAUAUAUAAAUAAAUAUAUAUAAUUAUAUAUAAUAUAUAAUUUAAUUAGUUAUAAACUUAUGAUAAUGAUAUUAUUAGUUAGAUGUAUUAUAUAAUGUAUAUUAGUGUAUGUAAUAUAAUUGAUAUUAUCAAUUAUAUGAAUAAUUAGACAUGUCUACUAAUAGAAUUUAUUAAUUAGUUAUACUAAAUUUACUAAUACAUUUAUACUAAAUUUCUAAUUACACUUAAUAGAAUAACACUUUUUUCUCAAAAAAAAAGCACAAACACAAUAAUGAAUUAGUGAUUGUAUUUGUACCAAAAGUGAAAACUUGACUAUUUUAGUUGUAUUUAUUUCAUCAUGUUAGAUUGUAUUCAAAUAACUUUUGUUUAAUUGUUUUUAUGAGUUUCGAUUGUAAAAUUACAAUGAAUAAUAACUUGAUGAUGUGUUGAUAUUUUAGUACUUGAUUAUUUAUUAAAAUUUAACUAUAAUAAAAUUUUAUUAACCCCGCAAGAAAAAUUUUAUUAACCCCGCGGGGGCGGGGGUCGGAGGGAAUUAAUAGGCAACGGGGCGGGGAGCGGGGGAGGGGUCCCCCGCCCCCACCCCCACCCCGCCCCGUUGCCAUCCCUAAUCAUUUGCCAAGUUGGUUGGGAGGACUUCUUAAAUUCCCUUCCUUACGUAGUUCAAAUCUCACCUAAAUCCCUUUUAGUAACUUAAUAGGGUAUCCGGUCUAAUUUGAUUUGGAUCGUUAAUUGCAUGGUAUUAUUUAUUAUUAUUAUUUGAACAAUCGAACCUACACAAAACCUACCCGGUUUUGUUAUUAGGAUUUAGUAUGGCAUAUUCAACUCUAAUAGGUGUUACACAAAUUCAUAAGCGUCUUUUGGAAAUCAGAAAAAGAACAUAGUACAAAAUUGAGGAGUUUACAGCAUAGGAUUGGGAAAUGUAUUGGUCAGAAUUCUGAGGUACAACCAAAUGAGACAUGAUAAAAGGAGGACCUAGUCAUCUAUCUAUCCUUCCCAGAUGAUAAGCGAGCCAGUCUUCUAUUCGUUAAUCAUCAGAUAAUCAUUAUUGCGCUUAAGCAUUUAAAUGAGGGAAAAGUACAAAGGUUUUAGUUUUGUAUCAUUUAAAAUUCAAUUCACAUUUUUUGUUUCAUAACUAGGCUAAAAUCUUUUAAUUUCCAGUCAUUAAGCUUUUUGAGUGCUAGGUCAAAAUUUUGCGGCAAAUGGAUUCAAGUACGUGCACUUGUACAAUUUGAGAAUAAAAGACUUUCAAGAUUUUUUUUUUAAAAAAAAAACAAAAAAGCUACUAAAAAUAAUUUUGCCAAUCACACUGAGGAGAAAAUUUAAAUUAUAUCUUUUCUCAAUUUUUUUGUGGGAAUUAAAUUGUGAAAAUAAAGGAGGUGGACAUAUGCUUCUUUUUCUUUUUCUUUUUUGCAGGGGGAAUUAUUUAGUAGUAUAUAUGCACCAUUUCUUUGCCAGUUUGCCUUGAGGCAAUCAGUCAGCUGCAAAUUCUUAUAUCUACUACUACGCUUUCAACUUUCAAGCCAACUUUUGUGGACAAACGAUUGAAACAAAUUAAAGAUAAAUCAUCUGCAACUGCAAGAACUGGCUGAUCCAGCCCUGCAUUGUGGCUGACCUAGAUUUUUUUUUUUUCUUUUUUUUUGGGAUGGGGGGGGGGGGGGUUAAAUCCCUUUGAGCUGUAAAUUAAAUUGCAGUAGUGUUAUCCUUCAUGGCGAAAAGUCUGCAUUUCCACCUCAUGGUCCACAGACAGGGCAUGGAGUAGCAUGUGGGGUUUCUCAGCCCGAAGGCCAUCAUAUAAUACUACCAUUUGAGAGGUUUUGGCCAUGGCCACAUAUGAAAGACAGACCCAUCGUCCACCAUACAUCAUGUGAAUUCUUGUCUAGUGGGAGACCAGCAUUUCUAGUGGCUAAAAUAGUGAUAUAUUUCGAUGUAUUUUGAUGCGUCAUCGCUCAUAUAAGAAUAGUACAGACAAAUGCCUUGAUAUUUGUCUUGGUGGAGAUACAUUUUUUGUUGCAACCAUUCAUGACUAUUGGUUACCAAUUUGACACUUGAUUGAGGACAAAGAAAUAACAUGAUUCCUUCAGUUUAUUUUUUUAAGUACUCCCGUCUCAUUCCACUGUCAACCGUGUGACCCCAAAUUCAAAUCCUAUACCUAACAGCUAAAACGACCUUAAGAGGACGACGGAGGCGAUCAAAUCAAUAGUUGCUUUUCAUUCAACCCUAACAUAAAAGUAAAUCCUAAAAUUUCGUAUAUAAUUCUCAUACACAAAAUUUUAGAGACCUUAUGAAUGAUUUUUUUUUUUUUUGCUAUAUUAUUAAAGGCACUCAAAUUCUUUACUAUAUUGCUUUCAGAGAAAAAAAAAAAGCUAUAUUAUGACUAAGAAACUUGAUGAUUUUAAGCGGUGACGAAUUUUUUGCCCAAAAAUAACCCAAUAUUUAUGGUUUACCACGAGUGGCUUACAAAGUAAAACACUGUUGUUGUGUUUGGAUUGCAUUUUUCGUCAUUUUUCAUGGAAAAAUUACUGUAGCGAUUUGAUAUAUGUGAGGGAAAAAGGUGAUAGGGAGAUGUGAUCACGGAAAACGACAAUAUUUUCUGACGGAAACAAGGCACAUCGCAGUGUUGUGUGGCAUGUUUUAAUUUGCUUCUCCAUAGACAUCUUACACAAGCAGUGAGCACUUAUAAAAGACAAGUAAUUAUUGAAGGGAGGCCCUAAAGAUAUAGGAGCAGUUGGUCGCCUUACAUAGUACUCCUAGUUCUUUGGCAUUUGUCUUUCGUCAUUAUUAAAAGAGUUCUGCUGCUCAACAUAGCCCAUCAAUUUGUAAGUUUAACACUCAAUCAAUUAUAUCUCCAUGGAAUUUAGCUCUACAUCCAUUGUUCAGAGCUCCAAUGAUUUCUCACGGGGGGCUGUUAAGAGGUUCCUUAUUAUGAAGCGGAAGAAUGUCGAAAUUUUUAAUGGAUGCUGCCGUAGCUUAAUGCCCAUCACAUGGCUCUCCACAUGCACAAUCUGCAACUGCAGCCAUUUUUUUUUUCUCUUUCUCUUCCCAACCAAUAAUAAUCUUCUUUAAAAGAAUCAUUUUUGGUGCCUAAUUAUUUUGAUUUUUUACGUAUAAUCUCACAUCCAAAUCCCAGAUAUGUGUGAACAUAGGAACCAAACAAAAGUACAGCCUGCAAGGGAAAUUUUUUUUUUUUUUUUUUUACUUUGCACAUUUUUAGGCAGUUGAUCUUAGAGAGAACGACAAAGUCUAGCUAAUUGCUAUCGUUAAUCAUGUUCCAUCAUUGUUGUUGGCAAUUCUCAAGUAUGCUAAUUCUCUUAUGAUAACUAUCAUUAUCGUAAAAGCAUUAUCAAUUCUUGAUUACCCGGUAGUAAUCAAUCAAGCAUUUUCUGACCGUGGGAAUAUUAUCAUUGGCCAAAACUGUGCAGUAUUUUGUUGUUGUAUUCAGCUUCACGGGGAGCUUCGUUGAGUUUAUUUAUUCUGACACUUGGGCAAUAAUAACAGGUUCAAUCAUUCAUGAUUCGGGAUCUCAACUUCCAACUUCCCCAUAUGACUGCUUUUAACCUUUAGGGUAUGUCCAGACUCGUUGACUAGAAGGCCAAGAAUCUUACCCUAUGGCUAUUGGUUUUUAAAAUGUAUGAAUAUAACGAAAUCUGUAAAUAAAAUUACAGCAGAAUACGCAUAUUGUAGCGGUAAGUGUUGCUUGCUUUCUUCAACCGUGAAGAUUAUAUACUACAUGAAUUACGCUUGUGUGAAAGGUACCAAAAGACAAUCCGGAAAAUGUGUAAAAUGUUUAAAUGUUCUGUCAAGGGUCAACGGAACAAUUCGAGACCUUGAGGACCUAAAGGUUUCAUGAUGAGCUUAAAUAAUGGAAGCAACAGUGUACAGUAUUAAGAAAUAAUAUGCACAGCAAAAGGUUGCUGAAACAGUUGCCCCUCGGGGCUAGAGCUGGUGGUAGUACCCCAGUUCCAGUUGGGGGUACCUCCACGGAGGUUCGAAUCUCGGGUAAAGCGGUCCGUAAAAAAGUUGGGCAGCCCUCUUCCGACUCGCAGAGGAUUAGUUGGGUCAUUAAGUAUUACCAGUCCGAAGACCCAGAUACCUCUAUGUUGCCAAAACAAAAAAAAAGGUUUAGUUGGAUCAUUAAGUAUUACCAGUCCGAAAAUCCAGAUACCUCUAUGUUGCCAAAAAAAAAAAAAAAAAAGGUUGCUGAAACAGUUGAGAAGGUUUCGAUAAUGUUUUGCUUCCUGUCCUUCGUUAAUUGGAGUUUCUUCAUUAGUUGUCCCCCUCCCCUGAUCAUGAAGGGAAAUUAUCAUACACUUCAAUUGCAAUGAGUCUAGUUUGAUAAAAGAUGUGGGAAUAAAUGUCGAGCAAUCAAUCAAUCAAUCAACCAACGCACAAAACAACAAUCAUGGUAAUUAUGAGUUCUAGCACGUAGGUUAAUAAUUCUAGCCAAAGGCAGAAGAGUUUGACGUCAAAGUACCAAAACAACAGUUCCUGCCGCUCUUCUCGCCUCUUAAAUCCUGUCCUACCUUUUCUUUGUUAGAAAAAAAAUUAAGAAAAAAUGCGAACAACAAAAAAAAUAUAUAUAUAUAUGUCAGAAUUUGAGAUGCAUUUUAAAUUCUUAACAAAGGCAUGAACAGAAAGUAGAAAUUAACUGGUGGAAACGCAGCGUGGGAUUUAUCCAAUAAGAAUUGAAGGAUAGAUUUGUGGGGCAACAUCGAACAAAAAAAGAAAAUGAAAUAGGUAACCCUUUUUCUGCCAUUAUAGCUAAAAGUGCUUAAACUCAACAGAGUCGGUAAAGCUUAGUGACACCUCAAUCAAUUGCUCAAGUUUUGUCGGAUAAUUCAGAUAUGACCACAGAAAUGUGGAAAAUUGCAAGACAGGACCCACCAUGUGAUGUCCAAUCAGGAUCAGCAGUUUGCCACACGACAGGUUCCGUCCCUAGCUUCUUCUUUUUUUUUGUCGCAACGAUAGAUGUCCUAUAACCUAAUCUAGUCUAGUCUAAGGGGAGAGGGUUCGAUGUGAGUACAGACUCCAUCGAUAAAGGUCAAUUAAGACCGCCACAGAUUGUGGCAAAUUUGUGGGAGGCAGAGAUUGAACCCCUGACCUCUAGCAUCACCUUUAAUGGUGAUGACCACUGGACCAAAUGGCCAGUGGCUCCGUCCCUAGCUCAUGUUGAAAAUCCUGCCUGUUUAUUUCCACAGAAUAGAUGCAUCGUGCAUCCACCAUGCACUAGAGAAUUUGCCCUCAUGUAUUCCUGCGUCGAUUCUUCAUGUUUAGACCAUGAUUUUGAUCCGUCUGGAAUGCGUUUAGCUGAAUUUGGAUGGAUAUAUAAUACUUACUCAUACAUAUGUUGCUAAAAAAGGCUUGAAAAUGGAUCCAAGAACGUAUAGACAUCCAAUUCUGACUGUUUGUAGGAGGGCAUGGGCAUUAUAGUUUACAAGGAUGUUCCUUUCUAUUUACAACUCUGUGCUUCUAUUCUACCCUUUUUUGCCUCCUCGUAUCAAAAUUCUAUCCUACAGCAGGUCAUGAAGGUAUUUGUUGAAUCAAUUAUCACGGUCUCCUGGUAUCCCGAGCGGAGUUCCUGGAGCCGUUGUAGGUACUCAACAACUUCAGUUAGUCUUCGUCUCAAUAUCGCCAGAAUCUUUUGAACUGGUAUCUGGAUCAUCCUGAGGGAGAAGUCCGAGUAGCGGUAAUGGUAACAAGGAGCUGAGGUUGCAAAGGAUUAUCAGGAAAGCCAAAUUAUCGAAUCUGUCCUUGGUGACGCCGAAAAGCUGCGUGAGGCCAGCACCUAGUAGGCCCCCAAGAACACUUCCUCCGUUGGAUAUGGACAUAAGUGUAGCAAAGAGAGUUGCUUCCAUGCCCUCUGGACAUAUUCUUGCAGCUAAUACAAGAACAGGCAUAAAAGAAGCCUGGCAGAGAACAAAGUUAAACUUUCAGGAAUUCUGGAGCAGGAUCAGAAACACAAUCUAUACUACAGAGAAAUGUUUAAGAACACCAGAUUACCUGACCAAGCACUGUUAAAAUCAAUGAAUCCCCAAUUGCAAACCACUCAUCACUUAUUCCAAAUUGCCUAUUCAAUCCAGUUACCAGUAAAACCUGUGCAGACAUCCAAAUUACACUUCAGGCAACUUAUGAGAAAAAACCACCAGAUAAGUUACCCCAAAAAAGACUCGAGACGUUUACCUGCGUCAUUCCAAGGACGGCACCAAAGACAGUGGUUAUGAUAAAUAUCUUUCUCAAAGGUACAUUUUUUAGAAAACCGUUAUAAAGACCAACACCUAGAAGUGAUGCCACUGAUGUAACUAGCUUCACCCGUCCAAGGAAUUCUGGGGUGAAUCCGAGUUUAUUUGUGCUAAAAUCAGGAAAAGGAAAUCUUUAGCUUCAGGUUUCAGAAAGAUAAAAGCAUAAACUGGCAUGUUUGGUUAAAACCUCAAAUCACAUACGUGAAGAAAAACAUGGCAGAAUCAGACACUGGAGUUGCCUGCCAUAGAAAAAUAAACAAUGUGGGAAGAAGUACAUUGGGCUGUUUGACAGCACCCCACAACUCAAUGAUGCUAUUUUUCGAGCUUUCUAAAAAUCCAGGACUUCCCAAAGAGAUAUUCUGACCCCUUGCUGGAACAACCACACGCUGCUCUUUAACAAGCACUGCAACUGCAGAUGUUAUCAGAGGAAGCAACGCAGUCACGCCAAACACGAACCUGCAUGGAUUCAAAAUGCUUAUGAGCAAUGACUCACCAAUUACAAUAUUAUCUUUAAGGUCAUAACAGAAACAUACAUACCUUACACCAUAUGCAUCAACCAGAGAGCCACUGAAGUAGGCACUGACAAUCCCCCCAAAUGCUGAAGAGCCCCAACAUAAUGACUGAAGAGAUCCUGACAUACUCUGAGACUCACCACGAGCCCUCUCCACAACCAUUGAAUCUACUACCUGUAUAAAGGUUCAGUUUUUAUGUGCAGGCCAAAAUUUCGAUAUGCUAGAUCAAAAAGCACCAAGCACUGACCAACUAUAGCUACUAUAAUUUUUAGAGUACAAUAGUUACGGUCAACACCAACCAGUGAUGACUAAACAGUGAUUGUCACAUUCACUUGUAGUUUAAGAAAAGAGGCUAAUCAUUGGAUCUCUAAUGCUAUUUUUCUGUGACCACACACUCGCCACAAUCACGACAUUGUGGCCAAUGAUUAUCCCAUGCAGCCAGUGAUAUCCCCCUACCCAAUGCUUCCUUUUCUCUCCCCAAGGACAGCAUGAAACAAUGCCUCUCUACCUAACCUAUCCCCUUUCUCCCUUCCCUAUACAGAAACCUUUCCGCUAUCCUGAUGCCAUUGACUACCCCCGCCACUGAUCCCUUCGCUUUAAAACCAAACCUCCUGUCUUCUUCAAUCCCUUCUUCUCCACCUACAUUACCUCUCUUUCCUCUUUCCUCCUUAACCCGCAGAGAAUACACAGACACAAUGUUGAAACCAGAACAACCUUAAGAGUCUCUAAGAUCUUGCAUUCAGAUCUAAACUAUUAAAACACAAAAAUGAUAUGAAACGAUUGCUUUCUGGAAGUACAAGUUACUGGUGGUCAAACCACGUCCUCUAAAACAAAACGAACAAAUAAUUGCAUCUUCUACAUUAAAUUUGACCACAAAUGUGCAUCUUGUAGAGUUAUUGACUAUACAUAAUACUUACAACAUCUGAGAAGGCAACAGACAAGGAUCCCAAAAGUAUGCAGAAAGCAGCAUCGUACUUGCCAUCUACAAAAGCGGCCAUCAAGCUCCAUGAAAGUGCUCCAAGAAGUCCUGAUAGCACUAAGUACGACCGUCGUCGGAACCCAAAAAGUGGGAAAGAGUCACUACAAUGACAGAAUAAUUUUUAGAAUUGAAUCGCACGUGCUGAAAAGAAAGACAUGUUAGACAAGUAUAAUGUCAAAGAUAAAGCUCACCUGAUGAAUCCAUAAAGAGGCUUAACAAGCCAGGGCAAUGAUGAGAAACCAGUUAUUACAGCUGUCUAGUCAAACACAUAAACUCAUCAGUCCUCAAUCCAUUUAAAGUCACCCGGGGAAUUCUAUGCAACGGAUAUGGGUGCAGCUAUGUACAAUAUUUUCCAAUCACAAAAGAAAUCUUGAAGCCCAACAUAAUUAGCAAAAUCUUGGAAGUCCAACACAUUUGGCGCUUAGUCUAAAUAAAAUAAAAUAUAAAUCCCUGAACAAAAAAAAAAAAGGAAGACACUCGAAUUAUAGAGUUUUAUUAUGGCAUAAUCAGCCAAAUGAAUAAGCAGCAAUAGACAAAUACAAAGAGGGGCAAAAAGAAGCUGCUUUGAUAUAUUUAAUCAACAGACAGAAGAUUUCAACAUUUAAAGAAAUAAAUGGAAAAUAAGAAUCCAAAAGAACAAUGUAAGCACAUAAUCAAAAGUUGUAAAUUGAUGGAAAUAUCUGGCAUAAAGGAAAACUAGAUCUUACUCAUGGAAAAUGCAGAUUAGAAGAUAAUUACACAAACUCACAGAACUAACAAAAUGGUGAAAAUUGAAGUUUUAAAAAACCUGAGGAAGCCAUCAUAAUUGGUGUCUUUUACCAAAUUCAAAAGAACAUUGAGCAUUAGAAUCCAAAAUUUAGACCGUUUUUCAAUUUAGAGAAAAAAAAAAGAACUAUGUAUAAACAAAAAAAAACUAAAUCCUCAUUGACUAAUCUACAAAUUCCACAGAUAUUUUCCAUGCAACAAGUUGCAUACCUCUGCAGGAUCCAGGUGCAGGUCAUCUUUCAAGUAAAAGCUUACAGCCAGCCUUGAAAUGCCUAAAACGCCUUGAACAAAAUAUACCAUAGCGACUGCUAUGGUAUCUGGAGUCAGGUCUACUCCAAAGCAUGUGAUAGAUUUAAGUGAAUAUCUGUUCUUGCUGCGAGUCACAGUUUUGCUAGAGGAGGAGCUAUCUUCUUCAACAUUGGUUGUUGGCAAAUCCCCUUUUCUAACGCCUUGAUAAGGAGCUUCAAAAUGUUAGAGAGAUUGUCCAAAAAAGUUUAACACGUAACAACAGAUUAUUAGCGGUCCCGAUUCACUAUAUUACGUUCAGACAAAUGAUUUCCUAAUUAGGGCAGUGGAAAGAUUAAGGCAGCAAUCAUGUAGUCCUUCAGAACACCACUUGUUAGUAGCGUGAACAAGGUCUACCAUCAUUAACUGGAUGCUAAAUCAGGCAGUCCUUUCUUGUAUUCAUUGCUUACUGAUCAAUAUCUGAUUCAUCACCCUCAUAUGGCAAAACAGAUACUGAUAUUUGAAAGCCAACCAUAGCGUAACCAAAAACGAGGAGAUUAACAUAUGACAGACUUACUUAAGUGAUACAUAGCCACAUAGCCAGAAGUUUGUAAAUAGAAAGUAAUACAUUGAAUCAAAAGCUAAAUGACUUCACUAGAAUCCAUAAACGGCAUGUUUAAUUUCUAAGAGAGACAAAAAAAAAAAAAAUCGUUUGCAAACCACAUUUCCAGACACUCACAAAUGAGAUUAACAUAUUCUAAGUGGAUCAAUCAAGAAUCUAUCUUUCAAUAGCUUAUUCCAAUGGCCUCGGAGCUACGAGUCUUUAAUUUUCCAAUUCUAGUCAAAGAAUAUAACAUAAGUUCCCAAUGCAACUACAAUUCACGGUAUAGUUAAUUACAACAAAUGAAUCCCACAUACAAAAACACAUCAGCUCUUACUUUCAGUAUAACAAUUUUUAUAAAUCAAAUGGGAAGGGGAAAAAUCACUAAAUACCAAACAAAGAGAAGAGAAAAAAAAAGUCACUAAAAACUAAAACUUGUCCCUUUUUUCCUUUUCCUCAGCAACCCUUCAUAGAAAGACACGUAAACAAAAAAUCAGAGACCACUUAAAAGAAACUAGAUAAAUCAGACCCACUUAUUAAAAAAAAAGGAAAAGAAUAAAUAACUGAUCGACAAAUUCAUGUUGGCAUUUUCAAAUUUGAAAUGGGAUUUUGAUGCGUAGUUAAUCUGACAUACGAUUUCUAGAGUCCAGUAGAAGUUCAGACUCGGAGUCACGUCGGGUGGACGAUGCCGGAGGCAUAGAGAUGGAAACAGACAUGUCGGAUCCCGGUGGAGAUUUCCGGCGGGCGACGGCGACGUGAAACUGCCGUUUGCGUCGGGAGCGAGCCUGAGAGUGUGAGGAGGCAGAGAGGGAGAAGAAGGACAAAAAUGGAAUUUUCGAGGGUAAGACCGAGAAAGUAGGAGCCUGAGUUUUUGGUGUUGCCAUUAAUACAGAAAGCCCACAAGUCAAUAGUACUAUCUUGUUUUGUCAUCAACGGGCAGUGGUUCCUAAUUAAUACUACGUCCUAAAUAAGGAUAAAUGAAAUGAAAUGACAAAAUUACACAUUUUUAAAUACUGUAAUAGCCACCAGAACAUUUUGAUGGACUUUUUCCAGAUACAGAUUAUCCAUAAUUUUGCUUUUCCACCAAAUUCUUGAAUGUGGAUUAGCUAGUUAUUAUCACAUUAUUCACAAGCUUGAAAAAAAAAAAAGGAGAGUAAUGUAUAUUUGCAAUUUCAAAUUGAAUUCUUUUUGGGCCAAGAAUGUUUUAAAUGUAGAAAUCUUCCAAAGAUUGAGAGGAAGGAAGAAGGAAAUGAGGUGUAUUGCUUCAAUGAAAAUCAGUAUCAGCGAAACUUCAGCUAAGUCGUGGGGUAAUAUACUCAAAUAGAUGCAAAUAAGCUUUACUUGCACAGAAUUGUUAACAGAAAAUUUUAUAGGUUUUUAGACAAUUUGAAUCACCACAAGUAGUAAGUCAAAUAAAAUACGUAUGACACUAACCUUAAAAACAUAAUACUAAGAUUAUUUUGGGAAAAAAUUUUUCUUAUCAUUUCCUAAAUAUAUUUUUUUCAAUCAUUUCUUAUAUUAUAUAUAAUGCAUAUAAUAAGUAUAUUUUUCAAUCACUUUAUGUAUUUUUAAAUUUACUCAUAUUAUUCAACUCCUGCAGAAAUACUGCUCCACCGAAACUAUUUCAAUCCAAUAUUCACGUUCUAUUUCAAAUUUACCCCACUAAAUCAAACCAAUAUCCACAUUCUCUUUUUUCUUACCCCACUAAACUACUAUUUCUCUCUUUUACUCUAUCAACCCUUUUCUCAACUUCUUUAAAAUUUUCUAAUAAUAUUUUUAAAUGAGGAGCAUUCGCAUCGGGUGCGUGUCGAUAACUAAUACAUACUAUAUACAUUGCUCCUGCAGAAGCAAUUAUGAACACUCAUAAAUGUCUUGACUAGACAGUGCUCUGGGCUGACCUCUCAGUUUCAAGUGAUCUGAUAUUACAGAAAUUUUGCCCAGCCCAACAACUCUGCAUGGGCUCUUCAUACUACAGUGAAACCUUGGUAGCCGUUUAAAAGCCAACUCUCCUUGAAUUGAAAAAAAUUUAAAAUCUAAUGCUACUACACUAUUUUCAGAACUUAAAUUGCAGCAAUUUUCAGGUGUAGAUUUGGUAUUAUUGCUCUUCCGAUGUAUUUUGGACAGCAAUUUUUCAAAAAAAAAUGCUACGUUUUCCGUGAACACAUUUUUCAACCAUCUUUUUACCUCACAUAUAUCAAAUCGUUACAGUAGUUUUUCUAUAAAAAAUUCAAAAAAAUGCAGUCCAAACAAGACCUUUCCUAAGGCAAAAACAAUAUUCAUUUUAUUAUGAAAUAAUUUAUGUACAUAUUUAACGAUGUUCUAAAUGAAUUGAACUUGAGUUCCAAUCAGAGUCGAAUCUUGUUUACUGGUCAAAAAAAAAAAAAAAAAAACCAUUCAUCUGAUGAGCUUAUAUAGGGACAAUUUGGACAUUGAGUAGGGUUUUUUUUCUAAUUUUAUUUUUUUCUGUAGGUAGGAGGUGUUGAACUCAAGAUACCAAGUAGGUUGAAAAAAAUCGAACGCAAAUAAAACGAGUUUUAUGCAUCCGUUCAUAGGGCACACUGGUCCUCCCUUUUUCUCUCUUCUGGCCUAAGGUCCCCAUGCAUGCCUGUCUCCCCCAGCAGCAACCAUUUUGGAUUUGGACCUCCUAAUUGUUGAUAUAAAAGGCUGAGAGAACUUUCGGAUUCCAAAGAAACCGACUACAUAAGAAACCAUGGGCGUAAAUAGCUACCAUCCCCUUCUUCGACCCUUCAUUUUUGGAUGAACUUUUUCCUAGUAUUCGACUUAUGAGCUGCCACCAUGCAUCCAAUAUGUGACAAAAAACAAAAGUAGAAAAACAAUGGUCCAAAAGGCCUUUUCAUGAUGGCUACGACAGUGUGUCUUUCACCCAUUGAAUUUUUUAAGUAAUCCUCUCAAAUUAUCAAUUAUUUAGGCUGAAAAUCUUUUCCAAGAAUCACACUACCAUCUUUUACAGAUCAGAAAGGCGUUAAUUAAGCCCUUAACUUGCUUUUAGUUCCUGCCAUUGCAUGCAUAUAAUAAUACCAUCCCUUUGACUGCCUUAAUGAAAUGCAAUAAAGUUAAGUAUGGAUGGCAAUCUAGAAUUUUUAUAACAAUACACUCAACUUCUUUGAUUCUUUUUUUCCUCUUUUAGGUUUCAUCCUGUAUUCUGAGGCUGAAAGAACAUAGGAGGAAAAAAAAACCCACUAAAACAUAUACUUCCAAAAUAAAUUAUCUCAUGAGAGGCUUUGUAUAGAUAAUGGCCGAGGUAAAUGAUCUUUUGACAUCAAGAGAUGCUGAAAAAGACGUGCUAAAAAGAAAGAAAAAGAAUCUACUCAACUGAUGUCAUUGGUCCUGAUGAUCUGUGCUUAAUUAUGAGACCAUUAAUAUAUGCUCACUACUGAACAAAAAUUAAUGGAAGUUUUGAUCUUUCAACAUCAUCAUCAUCAUCAUCAUUCAUAUCCAACUUUCAAGAGUUACAAACUGUAGACACAGCAAUCACCUACAUUUUUUUUCUUUUCUUUUUUUUUGGCUUUUUCAACAAAAUCAACUCUACAAUACCUCAGCCUAGCAGCCCCCUGCCAGGUUAACAAGGAGAAACUGUAACACAGAACAUCUAAAACCAAGCAUAAAAUUGCAAAGGAAAACAUC
rnacentral:lncRNA from 1 species